GAUGUGACACUGUUAAAGUUUAGCACCUCGUAUCCAAACAGCCCCUCACCAUGCACAUAUUGUUACUUUUACUUUGGCCAUGUUUAGUUACUCCCAACUCCCAACUUUGACACUAUGCAAAAAGAAGAUUCCCCAUCACAUCAAACUUGCGGUACAUGCAUGGAGUACUAGAUGUAGAUGAAAUUAAAAAACUAAUUGCACAGUUUUGUUGUACUUUGCGAGACGAAUCUUUUGAGCCUAAUUAGUCAAUAUUUGGACAAUAAUUCACAAAUACAAACGAAACGCUACAGUGUGCUACAGUGCUGUAACAGUAAUUUGGCACCUCCCAAAUUCCCCAACUAAACAAGGCCUUUGAUGCUGAUAAAGAGUGGCCGCAUGCUAUGCCAUGCCUAUUGCCUACGCCUACAAAUAAAAAGUCUAAAAGGGCACUACCAUAUAUGCACCGCUAAAGCUUUUUAGAAUGCUUCGCAAGAAAAGAAAACUUUUUAAAAUGCAUUGUUCAAGAAGAGAACGAGUUAACAUGGAAGAGAGAAAAAAAUUCCGAACAAGGAAGAGAAUGCAGUGGAUUUAGAUGCUUCGUCAGUUCAACUGAUGUUCUUCUUCUUUUUUCUCUGUUCAUGCAGCAAGCUGAAAGCAGAUCCAAGUUAGCGUGCUGCCUCCAAAGAAUCUUGGAAUUUUGAUCAGUCGACAUCAGGAAAAGAAAGUAACGAAGAAUGGAUAAAAAUCGUGUGACCGGCACAACUAAAACUAAGUCGUCACAAGCAGGUAUGCAUGCAUGGUGAGCGGUGGAUUGGUCACUACCCGAAAUAAACCCAAUCGAAAUCUGGCGCUAAUUAAGACCCUGAUGCAGCGACGUCGAGUUAAUUAAGGUGCUUACCCUGGUGGAGACGCAGGCCGCGAGCGCCAUGGGCACGGUGUACAUGAGGCUGGUGGUCUGGAUGAGCACCCCGGCGCCGCCGACGGCGGCGGCCGGGUUGGGCAGGUACCCGGCGAGCACGGUGACGACCUCGUACCACCACCACUCGAGGCAGACGCCGACGCAGCUUGGCACGGCGAGCCUGGCGAGCUCGGGCAGGCCGCUGGCGACGGCCGUGAUGCGCGCCCACCCCCUCCACGUGUCGUCGCACGCGCGCGCCCACCGUAUGUAUGCGAGCAGGAAGAGCAGCAUGUUGGUGUUGGUGAGCGCCUGCGCGGCGGCGACGCCGCGGACGCCGAAGCCGAGGCCGAAGACGAGGAGGACGUUGAGCGGGACGUGGAGCGCGACGGCGAUCGCGGAGCAUGCCGCCAUGGGCCUGGUGAUCCCCUGGGAGCGGAGGUACACCCGUAGCGGCUGGAGCACGACGCUGGCGGCGAGGUCCGGGAGGGCGAAGCGCGCGUAGGCGGCGGCGGGGGCGGAGAUGGCGGGGUCCUGCCCCAGCGCGACGAGGAUGGGGCCGACGUUGAGCCAGAGCAGCGCGAUGGGGAGCGCGGCGAGGAAGAGCAGCAGCAUGGCGCGCUGGAGGGAGAGGGUGAGGAGGUCGUGGUUGCGGGACCCGAAGGCCUGCGCGCAGAGCGGCUCGAGCCCGGAGGCGAGGCCGAACAGCACGCUGUGGCCCGUGAUGUUGGUGAGCCCGAUGGCGAGCGCGCCGCCGGCGAGGUCCAGCGGGCCCAGCCGGCCGAGGCAGAGCACGGACACCAUGGCCCGCAGGUACACCACGCAGUUGAGCGCCGUGAUCGGCGCCGCCAUGCCCCACAGCGCGCGCAGCUCCGCGGUCGCCGACGGAUGGUCGUCGCUCCCCACCUGGCCACCGCCCUUCCCGUCCUUCCCCUGGAGCGGGAUGGCCAUGCCGCCGACCCAACGGGUGCGUGCAGUCACUGCUCUAGUGCUUGCUCUGUGUGAAAGAGGCAGAGGAGGCGGUUUGUUUUUGCGGCCGCCGGCUGGGUUGCUCCCUGGGGAUAUAUAUGGUCGUCGCCGUCGCCGCAGUGAUUGCCUGCGCGCUGUCCCUCAUCUCUAGUAGUAGUCGGCUGAUUAGCCAUGGGCCGGAUGCUUUGGAUAUCUUUUAGAAUUACGAUUUGAAUAAACGGCAGGGGUUUAGCCUGGCUGUCAUCGUGCCAUGAGAUUAAUUCGCCGCCGUUUCAACGUUAUUACGGCUGUAAAGAUAAAGAUGCUGUACUGUUAUUGGUACGCGAGGCAUGUGUUUUUUCAGUCUUCACUGUACAGCACAAAACCAUGGCUCGAAAAGGAAAACCAUGCUAGGUUCUACCGGUGUCAACACCACCUGCCACGCUGACAGUUGACCCAUUGAAUUUCCACCAAAUAUGCACGUGAUUUGACAAUUAUCCUGUGCCAGCUCUCUUGGAUUUCUCGCCACAUUACCAUGAGCAGUGGGCACUUUUUUUUGUUUGUUUGAAAGCGAGCAGUGAGCACUUGCCCAUGGUGAAAUGGGGGUUUGUGCACGCGUGACAGCGUCUGUCUGAAAGCUGAGGGUCUCUUCAUCGAAACAAAAAGGAAAACGGCUAAGAGAGAUGAGGAGGCAUGCGGCCCAUCAAAUUUCCUUUGGGCUCGCUCGGUCGCAGCUAAACCAGAGUGCAGCCCAGCCCAACCCAACCCAACCCAACAGGCCGAAACCCCCCCCCACCGCACACCGGCGCGCGGCGCAGGAGCUCUCCACGGCACGGCAGCCGCGCCGCUUUUCCCCUCGUCGCUGCAGACGCCGACGCGCGCCUCCGCCGUCUCCACCAUGCUAUCCAGGCGAAGGUGCGCGAGCCCGCUGUCCAUCCCUUCGCUCCACAAGCUUACAGCACCGCGCUUCUCUGCUGGGGCCCGUUCCGGGCUUAUUCGCUGACUCCCGUGUUCUUCUCUCCUCCCGAACAGAUGCUUCACGGCGGCGGCGAAUCGGAUCCGGCCCCUCGCGAGGGCCUUCUGCGACGCACCGGCUCCGCGCGCGGAUGCGGCGCCCGGCGGGGCGCCCGGGUCGCAGGCACUCCCUCAAACUCUCUCCCUCUGCGUUUCGGUUCUGCUGUAGGGUUUAGGGGAAUGCGUCGUGUGGGGUGCGGCGAAUUGUGAUUGAUCUUUGGAAGUGGAAUUGAGUUUUCAUGCGUCUCUAGCGCGGGUACCAGCACUGAUUUCUCUCGGUGAACCUGUAGGAUCGCACCCAGGAGGUUGGUGGCGUGAAGGCUGCACCUGAUGUGCUCGACGUUGCUAUCGUCGGUGGAGGCAUGGUGGGCUUGGCCGUUGCUUGUGCAUUGUGUAGGUAUUGCUGUUCGCGUGCUUUCUCCAGCUGUUUAAGUCGUUGAUGAGUUUGGCACCUUGCGUUCAGUUUUGGCUGGCGAUUGAUGCUCUUGGACUACCUUCCCUUGCUUGUUGCAUUAGUAGUAAUCAUAGAUAGUAUCAUCCCAAAUUAACAGUUCAGUGUGGAGAGUGCUAGGCACUUCUCUGGGAGUGUUAUUUUCCUGUUAACAGUUCAGUUUGGAAAAUUUACCACUAGCAAGUUUUUUUGGGAAAGGCUCAGUCACAUUGUACCUUGUAUGUGAUGUAAAAAAGUUGUAAUUUCUCACUUGCUUGUAUAUCAUGUAUGCAGCCAAUAUGCCAUUGACAAAACAUCUCAGAGUCGCCAUUAUUGAUAGCAACCCUGCAUUGAAGUCAAGAAAUCACCUGACUAAAAACAGUAUACCUGAUUCUAGGGUCAGUACUGUUACUCCUGCAACCAUUUCCUUCUUCAAAGGUAUGAUUCUGGAUCAAACAUGUGCACUAUAUUGCUUAAUUUCAACUGUCUCUAAUCCUGUAACGAUAUUUGGGCUGUUCAAGUUUGUCUUGUGUGUUUGGGUGUCAUUUCAUCUAGAUUGACCUUCCAUGUUGUUUACACAGAUAUUUACUCAAUUGCAUCACCUUUUAAGUUGAUCAACUAUACAAUAUGACCACAUUACAUAUAAGGGGGGUCCACAGUUUGCCAAAACAGAGUCUGGCUAGUUCGCUCCGCUUAAUCAGUGUUUGGUUCAAAGUUUCAGUUAUAGUUUGCCACGCUUUAUUGGACCUGAAGCCAGCUAUCACACACCCAUUUUCUAUCCAUAUAUUGUCACAAGUUUGGUGAAAAGAUUUGGCUGCCACAAAAGGCUUGCCAAAUGAAGUAUGGUAAAGCCUUCCUCUCAUAUUCGCAUUACGUUUCUCCAUCAUUUUUUCCCCGAAGAACUGUUUCUCCACCAUUCUGCACAGUCAUCAGCACCCAAUAUUUGGUAGUCCAUUUCUAUGUUGUAUCUCCAUCCAAUGUUUUGCUCAACUUCCAAUCCUGUUAUUUGGUGUCAAAGUUACCAUUCAUUAUUGUGAUCAAUUUGAUUGUUAUGUCAUCCCGUUAUUGUUUCUGUUUCAUUGGGCCACCAAUUCCUUUUAGAUCACCAGUUUACACUUUGAGUUGGUUACAAUGCUGGCUCAAAAUAUCUGUUCUUUUUGCUCAUUGGAAACGAUAGUAAAAUAUGUCUCCAUUUGCCGAAGUAUAAUUGAAAAAAGAUGUUAUGUUUGUACUUUUUCCUUUUUAUAUGUGCACGGAUUGUUUGUCUACUGGAAACAAUAGCCUCAUGCAUGUUCUCAUUAAUAUGGCAGAUAUUGGUGCAUGGGAGCAUGUUCAACAGCAACGGCAUGCUUUCUUUGGUAAAAUGCAGGUGAGGAGAUAACAUGCUUUUAGCUAUAAACAAUUUAUUCUAUGCCCAUUAUUUUUCACUUCUGUCUCUUUUGACCGAACACAUUCAUGUUGUAUUUGCACUUUGAGCUUUUGCUGAUUAGAUGCCAAGUUGUGAGCUUGUACUAAGUUAACUAAACAGUUGCAUUCAUCUACUUGUGCUUUACACUAUGCUAGCAAUACUAAUGGGGCAUGCAAGCCUAAGCCUUAAGGUAUCCAAAAACUUGUCCAGCUCAGUUGCCAAUUUGAACAUAGAGACAUUACUACAACUCUAAUAUGCUUCUGCUUACUGGCCUAUCUCAUUUUGGAUUAGAAAUAAAACAGAAGCUUAAGUAUUUUGGAAGAUAGCUGGUAGUAGAUUUUUUAUAUUUUUUAAGCAUGCCAGCUGGUUAGUGUAUGAUGUAUCGUGCCAAAGUUCAACUAUCACCUAACCGCACGUGCAUGCAUUAGCAGUUGCCUUCUUUUUGUUUGGUCUUUUCCUCUCUUUAUUCGCACACAAAAACACAGUGGCAUCAAUGCUCCACUUCAGUAAAUAAGUAUCAUACUGGAUAGUUUAUUUACUACUGGCAGGUGUGGGAUUACACUGGACUUGGAUACACAAGGUAUAAUGCAAGAGAUGUGGGCAAAGAAUACCUUGGGUAUGCUUUAACAAAAGCUGCUGUAAUUUUUUAUCUACUUUUAUGUCAGUGGUUCAUAUCUUUCCCUUUGUGUUUGCAUUUUUUAGAUGUGUGGUGGAGAACAAGGUGCUUUGCAACUCACUGCUCUUACGUUUUCAGGUUUGUCUUUUCUUUAAUCCUUUAACACCAACACUUAUUUGUAUUGCACCUUGCUGUUUGUGCGAUAUAGGUAUCAAAAGUAAAUCUUAUGGUGUAUUUAUCAUAGUAAAAGGAUGAGUUUUCUGUUGUGCUGCCUAAAGCACAUAUAUUCCAUUUUGUUAGCUGCACACAGUAUCAAUAGAACAUCCUUUUUGAUAUGAUGUGCUUAAAGUUGUUUAGUAUAAUAAGAUAUUGAGAUUAUCUCAAAUAACCAAGAACUCCACAUGGAAGUUGAUAAUUUAGCAGCCCUGAUUCUCACUCUUGUUAACAUACUUUUUUUUUGACAUAGUCAACUUAGUCUGAUGCUUAGAAAUGUGACCCUGGCCAGGAAGAAUUGGAUGACAUCGAAAGUGUGAUAUACCCUACCAGAUUGGUGUCCCUUACUUUCCCAUCGAUUAGCAAACAAGCGGGAAUGAAGCCAACAUCAAGUGAACCAUUAUCCGCAGGUCAUGCUACAGAAGAGUUACAUCGCAGUAAUUUAGUUAAACUCGACCUCAGUGAUGGAAGGACUUUAUAUUCCAAAUUGGUGGUAAUUGCUUAUUUAUCUUAUUUUGCAUUAUUUUGAGCUUUGUUUUGCUUCAUUUCCUCAAUAUCCUAUUUAAAUUUUGUUGCAGAUAGGAGCUGAUGGUUCCAAGUCCAAUGUUAGACAGAUUGCAGGCAUAAAAACAACUGGGUGGAAUUAUCCGCAAAGUGCAAUUAUCUGUACAGUGGAGCAUGUUGUGGAAAAUGAUUGUGCAUGGCAGAGAUUUCUCCCUUCUGGUCCAAUCGCACUGCUUCCGAUAGGCAACAACUUCAGCAACAUUGUAUGGACAAUGAGCCCAGAGGAAUCACUUCGACAUAAGUCAAUGAGCCCUGAAGAGUUUGUGAAGUCAGUGAACCACGCAUUGGAUUUUGGCUAUGGUCCGCAUCCUCGCUCUAGUGCUCUUGACCAUUACAUGGAAAAGUUCUUUUCUGGCAUUGGGAAUACUGCAGCAUCUACAAAAGAAUGUUUUGAAGUACCACCAAAAGCAACUGGUGUAGUGUCUGAGAGAAUGGCAUUUCCAUUGUCAUUGAUGCAUUCCCAUGAUUAUGUUUCAAAAAGACUGGCAUUAGUUGGAGAUGCUGCUCAUACAGUCCACCCCUUAGCCGGCCAAGGCGUCAACUUGGGCUUUGGUGAUGCUGCUGCUUUAGCAAAAGUUAUUGCUGAAGGAGUUUCUGUGGGAUCAGAUGUCGGGGAUGUAAGUAUCUAUUGUUACUUUUGUGUAGCCUUUUCCAUUGAAAUUUAACCAUAGAAUUGAUCAUGCUCCAUCUGCAUCAUUCUUGUGAUUCUCAUGUUGGAUAUGAAUUGUUGAUCAUAUCCCGAGUCUAGUCCAACCACAAACGAUCUCAUUCUUAUAUUUUCUUUUCCUUUGUCAGCUGACUUUGCUACAGCGGUACGAGAAGGACCGGAAGGCUGCCAAUGUGGCGAUGACAGCAGUGCUUGAUGGUUUCCAGAAGAUGUACUCCGUCGAUUUUGGACCCCUGAAUGUAGUGAGAGCUGCCGCGUUCCACGGUGCCCAGUACAUAUCACCGCUGAAGAGGAACAUCAUCUCUUAUGCAAUGGGCGACACGAAAUGGCCGAUAUUCUCAUGAACAAUAGUACUUAGAAACUCUACUUCUAAACUUGUAUGAUGCACCUGGUUUAUAGUUUUGGCUUGUACUGGAUCACUAAGAAACAUUGUACUAGCGGAUGCAAAGCAACAGGCAGUCAAUAAUUGUUUUGUGAAAAGAAAAUUACUCGUGCUGUUCCUUUUGAUCUGAGAUGAAUUGAAAUCUUGUGUGCUCCAUUGGUGUUGGAACCUGAUCUCCCGCUAGUUUCGGAGAUUGUUCCUUCGAUGGUGCUCACGGCUCGUUCUUAGUAUUUCCUUGAAUCACAUUUUUUCAUGGCUGUACAUAUGUGCUUGUAUGUAUAAUGUAUAGCCAUUAGCCAGACUAAUGGUUGGGUUCAGUUGCAAAAUUGAUAGAACACAGGCGGGCCCAAUCAGACUGGGCCGGUGAAUGCGGGCCGUAGCAGGCCUGCGGAAGGUGUUAUCUCAUGGAUUAUUAAUACUUCUUUUAACUAUGUUUUAAUCAGAGAAUGAACGAUUGCUUAGCGUCGGCGUCUUCGUCGCCUCGUAUCGAACGAACGAGAGAGAAUACCCCUCCGAGUCGGCCAGUCGCCGACGACUUCACGCGGGCAGCGCAGCCGCGUCCCCGACUUCCUUCCCUUGGGACACAGAGAAGGGGGAAGUGAUGAGCUCCUCCUCGUCGGCGUCGGCCGCGCCGCCGGAGGACGACGUCUGCUCCGUCUGCCACGACCGCUUCCGGAUCCCGUGCCAGGCAAACUGCUCCCAUUGGUUCUGCGGCAAGUCCCCCCCUCCCCUUCCUCUCCCCUGCCCCUUUUCCCCCUUCGGAGGAUUUGAUUUCCUUUUUAUCUCGACCCGUCCGCGCCGGCAUAAAUUCAGUUGGCUGAUGCGGCCGGCUAAGCAGAAGUGGCAGGUACUCGGUUAGGAAUGGAUUUGGGGCUGUUUGCUUCUUCUUCUUCUUCUUUGAUACAAAUUACGAUACGGGGAAGGGAUUGUAUUGGCCCGAGUUGUCGAGAACUUUUAGGCUACCUAAAUUGCUGCGAUUUGCGAGUAGGGUGCCGGAAUUGACCUGUGAUCUCUCUCUAUCGUAGAGUCUGCUUAGGAAUUAACUCCACGAGUCGAUGCAAACUGAGGGUUUAGGGUCCUGAAACGACUGAACUUGUAGAGCCAGGGUUAUGUGAAUCGACAGCAUGGAUCAUUGCUAAAGAGAGGUCAGAUCUAGAAGGUGGUUUCAUUCAACCGAAACUGAUGAACACCACCUCGACAUGCCCUCAUCUCAGGCAGGAAAUGCUGUAACUCAAUUUCAUUACUGAGCCAACCAAACAACGUGUCGAUGAACCCAGUACUUGCGCGAGCUGAGUCGAACAGCUUACUGUAGUAUUGUAUUGAAUUGCAGUGAAUUCAGAUGAUGGCCACCUAAAUGGGAUAAAUUGUUUUGGGGGCAAGGACAUGUGUACUGCCCCAUACUCACUAUCAGCCAUUGUCAUAUUGAAAGAUAGGGUUAUGCUUCCUUUAUUUGGAAGUAGGUAUGACUUCUGCAUUGCAUGGUGUUCAGGUUCAGUAUUAUCAGAAGAUAUGUAGUUAUCUGGUCUUGUGAAGUGGAGAUGGUUACACAUACCUAAAAGGAAAAUGACAUUUGUUUCCCAAUUUAGUGAACUACUAAUUUCAGCUUAUAAACUGUGCUGAUGCCUACCUAACUUUACUGCCUUUUGAGUCUCCUCUAUUAUUGAGUGGUGUGAUAUGAUGAUCUUUUCCAGGAGAGUGCAUCAUCCGUGUUUGGCAUCAUGGACCUGCUGUACAGGCUUGCAAGUGUCCCAUUUGUCGCCGCCUUAUAAAUCUACUGGUACCUGCUCCUUUAUCAGACCAGGAGGAUGAUCCACAAGUUGGCCGUAUUUUGGGAGAGAUUCAGCACUAUAACUGUAUAUUUGGUGGAGCACCACGCAGCCUGACUCAGGUUUGUACACUGUCCAUGAAAGCUGAUUUCUUUACCGUCUCUUUCAAGAUUAAAAUCUACGCUGGAUAUUUGUAUUGAUUACUGCGUUUGAUAUGUCAACACUGCUACUAUUGUUAGAGAUCAUCCAAAUGAAAAAAAAGUGGCCAAACUACUUGAUAAGUACUUAGCAAGCUCUGAGAGGAUAUUUUUAUUGUUUCAAAACAGAUCUCUUGUCCUAGUGUUCCUUGAUUCACGAGUCUUCCUCAGUCCCUAAUAGGAUUUGUAGCGUAUAACUGGGAAAACAUCAAUCUGGCAUAUCUGACUACUGUACACAUGCCUUAAGCAUGGUGUGAUUAAUGGACCGUACUGUAAGCAUAUGAUUAUUUUGAUCACAUGCUUUCUUCCAGAUCACAUCAACUAUCAUCUGGUGUUAUUAGGAGUAAUCCCUAUUUGAACCUGACAUACAUAAUUAAAACUAUGCAGUGCUUUUACACUCUUUCUAACAAAUCUAGAGAUUCCCAUGUGGCUACUUUCAGUUAUAAAUGUAUGCCUCUAGCAUCUAGCCUUAUGAUCUUUUAGGAGGUUUUCAUCUAGCUUCUUGUUUUUUGGCAAUCCACUUUUUUUUGUGUGUUUUUCUUCAGAGGUUGCAAGACCUACCCUUCUUCAUCCGAAGACUGUUUAGAGAACUAUUGGAUCCCCAGCGGACUCUCCCACUUGUGUUCAGGGCACGGAUGAUGAUGAUGGUGAGCUCGACAGAUUUAAAUGUUUCGUUAUUUGAUAUUCUUAUUUAAUAUUAUGCUGGAAAGUUACUAAGAUUGGGAAAGCAAACAGGCUGUGCUGUUUCUGUCCGCAGUUUCAUACCAUCGCCCAAUGCAAUGGAUGUGAGAGACGAGACCGUAUGUAAAUCUGAUAUUCUGACUGAUUUGAACUUGUAGGUUGCAUUGAGUGCAAUUUAUGUGCUGAGCCCUGUCGACAUUCUCCCUGAAAGUAAGUUCCAUAUUCCCAAGAACCAGUGUCAACAUCAUGAUAAACUUGUCACUACUAUUUUCUGAACUAUCAUAUAUUCAUAUACCAUCAUGGCCUUGAUUCUGCAUUGUGCUGUUGUGCAGGUGUGCUGGGGCUCUUUGGAUUCGUUGAUGACCUGCUGAUUCUGGUGAUCGUGUUCCUCCACCUCGCCGCCGUCUACCGGUCGUUGCUCCUGUACCGCCAUGGGGGGCAGUAGAAGGCGCUGUGCAUAGUCAUUUGCUUAACUGGGUUCCAUGCGGAGUUUUCGAGGUGGCAGCUUUGGAAGAGUGCUGAGUAGAUGAGGAGGAUAUGAAGGACGGCUGGCUCGUGCUUGUUUUGUAGUAUUCUGCUACGCCUGUUUCCUUAGAUUCUGGAGGGUGGACUUGUGUUGAUGGGAGUGGAUCUCUGUUGUAUUCAGCUUGCCGGAUCUGCACAGUUCAUGGAUAUGACAAUUUGUUUCUCUUGUCAAUCUUGAUUUGGCUCACAUAUUGCUGAUGCCUACAUAUUCUGGAAACAGAAGAAAUACAAUUAUGCAACUAGGUCCUAUCUCAGCAAUCAUAAUUACUUCGAAGGAAAUGCUUACACCCAAAAAACAGUACAUAUAUGCCCUGCUUUAGCAAGCCAUGGCAUAAAUACAGUAGGCCCUACCAAGGAAAAUUAUUGCAUAAAAAUAUAAUGCAAUUGGAUAGACAAACUACAGUUACAAUAACAGACGAUUUAUACAACGCACCAAAUACAAUUGCGAUUCAAGAAUGUGCUUUCGUUUUUUUGUGGUCUAAAAUGAGAUCGCAGAGCUUAAUGUGGCCUAAUUUUCCUAUACUGUUGUGUUAUUUUCAUUGUGCAUGAGCAUAUUUCGGUUAUUUUUGUCUGUAUGAAUUGAAUCUAGUUGAUGUGUACAAAUCCUGAUCCAAAAGAAUGAGCCUCAUUUAAAUUACAGAACCACACCAUAGGAAAGAAUCUUAACUCUUUUUUUUUUCUUGAACACGCAGGAAAGAAGAAUCUUGAACUUUUGAAGUUAUUCAAGUUGUAUUACGCAUUUCUUCUUGGUCUUUGCAUUUAAAACAUGUUGCUUGAGACUACUCCCUCCAUAUCGUUUUAAUUGUCGCUGGCAGUUCAACAGAAAAAAGACUCAAAAUAUUUGACGUUCUAGAGUUCACGUCAUAAUAAGUGGCCUCCCAUUUUUACCCCUGGCUCCACCGCCUGAUCAUGAGCCUCCGCUGCUAGCCUGCUACCAUCACCCUGCUCCCCUCAGCCUCUGCUGCCUGCUCCCAUGGGCAAAAGGGUAAACUCCUUUCUUCCUUAUAAUUUUGACGAACCUGUCGGCAACGAAAUAUAAAACGAUACGGAGGGAGUACGAUACUACUAAAAUAUCUCCCCUCCAGCCGACCGGCCGAGUGCUUUGUAGCAUCGCCAUGCUCAUCUCUGAGUUUGGAUUGUUCGAUCUUAGGCCCUGUAGAUUAUAUAAUCCAGAUUAAAAUAAGUUGGACACAAAUAAACAACCUAGAUUAUUGCAGGUCUAGAUUAUUGAUUUGGAACGUUUAUUCCUUAAAAUAUCCUUGUUCAAGUGGUAUGGGUCGUAUGGUAAAAGAAUAAAAAUAAUCUGAAAUAAGCGUCUCAGCACGCUCUGCUCCGUCCUAGCUCUGCGCCCAAGCUCACCUCCUGGAGUCCUGGAAGUCAACAAACGGCUAAGGGGGUGUUUGGAUACGAGGUGCUAAACUUUAGCAGGGUCACAUCGAAUAUUCAGAUGCUAAUUAGAAGGACUAAAUAUGAACUAAUUACAAAACUAAUUGCACAGAUGGAGUCUAAUUCGCGAGACGAAUCUAUUAAGGCUAAUUAAUCCAUCAUUAGCAAAUGGUUACUGUAGCACCACAUUGUCAAAUCAUGGACUAAUUAGGCUUAAUAGAUUCAUCUCGUGAAUUAGACUCCAUCUGUGCAAUUAGUUUUGUAAUUAGAUUAUAUUUAAUACUCCUAAUUAGUAUCCAAACAUCCGAUGUGAUAGGUGCUAAAGUUUAGCACGCUGUUCCCAAACACCCCCUAACUUGUUCAGGGCAACAAAUCAGUGCUUUUUAUUUUUGGAAAUAAUGCUGCGCUAUGUACUGCUAACUUGUUCCUGAAUUUGCAUCUGCCGUGGACAAUCAAUCCCACUUAGCUUGUGCAGUUGUACUAUCUAGGUGCGUGAGUAUUAGCUAGGCCUAGCUGCAAAAAGUUUUAACAGCUACAGUAGUAACUACUUGUGGCGCCUCCGUUUGGCUUCUGAUGCAGCAUGCCAUGGCGGGCGGUUGGCCCUUGGCAAGCGGCUGCGGAGGGCGGGCGUGACCGCUGGGCAGUGGUCGUGCAGGUGCUCGGUGAGGCGCUGGUCCGGUACGUUGCAGAAGCUCAGCGGCUGGUGGCACACCAGGCACCGGUACUGCUUCCCAAUCUCACUCACCACCUCCCCGAACACCGCCGCGGUGUACAGCACGCCCCUUGACCUCGCCAUCCACGCCGCCGCCUCAGCACGCCUGCAUUACACAUAUUGCAGUUGCUUCUAUUUGUUAUUGCAUGCAUGGAGAAAUGGAAGGAUCAACAGCAUCUGGCAGCAAAAUUAGACCUUGUUUAGUUCUCAAAUUAGGAGUGACAAAGUUUACAUUUUGCUAUAAAUGCGCAACUGUAGCAUUUCGUUUGUAUUUGUGAAUUAUUGUCCAAACAUUGACUAAUUAGGCUCAAAAGAUUCGUCUCGCAAAGUACAACAAAAUUGUACAAUUAGUUUUUGAUUUCAUCUACAUUUAAUACUCCAUACAUGUACCGCAAGUUUGAUGUGAUGAAUAAUUUUCUUUUUACAUAGUGCUAAAGUCGGGAAAAAGGGAACUAAACGAGACCUUAUUCUUGCUCCUACUAGUUGGGAGCUAGCUAGAAACAUUGCUACUUGCCUGUCGAACUCUGGAAAGUACACUCUGAGAUAGUCCCAGACAUCCCUGCAUGUCCUGCGCCUCUCAGCAGGUAGGUCCCUGAAGAUUAUUCGCAGGGCAGAGACAAACUGCAUUAUCCCAAUUUGCAGAGAGAAAACGGCAAGGCAAAGGAUGGAUAAUCAACUGAAAGCAGCAAGAGAUCAUAUAUCCAUCGACGAUACAGCAACAAAAUUAUUCAGACUUACAGCGAGGGAUUUGUUGGCUCGCCCACAGCUGCCACUGCGGCUGCGAGGGUCUUCCCAAGGUCGGAGACCAGCUUGUCCAGGAGAGGAGUGCGGCGGUGUAGCCAGGUAGCGCCCAAGAUACUGAAGAAGUAGUACUGCUGCGCCUGCACCGGCUUUCCAUCGCACAGCAGCUCCAGAGCGUGCUGGCGGCGAAGCAGGACGAUGAGCUCAGGGUGGUCGCGCAGCAUGUCAUCCGCGGGGCCAAAGCCUGGAGGAGCGUCCUUGUGGCCGGCGUGCUCGUUCUUGCGUAACAGGAGGGACUUGGCCACAUGGUCGGCGGCGUCAAGCCAGCACCUGGCCUCGAGCAGGGCGUCCAGGGUCGCGGGGUCAUUCUCAACCCCCAGUGGCUUCAGCGCCCUAUAUAUAUGCAUCCAAUAAGAGCCAGCCAGGUAUGUUGUCAUGAUAAAUCGGAUGAUGAACUUGAGACACUUACCCCUUCGGAUUUGGGGGGUGUUUGGAUAGCAGGUGCUAAAUUUUAGCACCUGUCACAUCGGAUGUUUGGACACUAAUUAGAAGUAUUAAACAUAGUCUAAUUACAAAACUNNNNNNNNNNNNNNNNNNNNNNNNNNNNNNNNNNNNNNNNNNNNNNNNNNNNNNNNNNNNNNNNNNNNNNNNNNNNNNNNNNNNNNNNNNNNNNNNNNNNUCUAUUAAGUCUAAUUAAUCCAUCAUUAGCGAAUGGUUACUGUAGCACCACAUUGUCAAAUCAUGGACUAAUUAGGCUUAAUAGAUUCGUCUCGCGAUUUAGCCUAGGGGUUGUGCAAUUAGUUUUGUAAUUAGACUAUGUUUAAUACUCCUAAUUAGUGUCCAAACAUCCGAUGUGACAUGUGCUAAAUUUUAGCACAUGUCUCCCAAACACCCCCUUGGGCCGGUCAAAUUCUGCACCGAUGGCCCGGCGUCCUCGGGAAACAAGCAAAAGCUACUUGAGCCAUCUAGCAAUUUGUACCAUUGAAGUACAAUUUAACCAUUGGAGUACUCGUAGUAUACUAUGCAACUCAUUCAAGACAAGAGAAAAAUAAUAUUCAAGAGAAGAGGUGAAAUUAGCAGGGCACCUAUGUUUAGAUUAGGUGAUGUCACAAUUAAAUUAAACUAGCAUGCAUAUCAAUCAUGCAAAUAGCCAUGCAAACGUUGGUAGCUGUGCAUCAAUUGAACCAGUGGGACAAGUUAGAUAGAUAAUUAAGCUAUCCAUCAAUUUGCCUCAUUAAUGUACAAGACGAAUUGAAUAAUGUUCAAGAGAAGAUCGAGGUGACAUUAGCAGGGCACCUAUGUGUUAGAUUUAGAGAUGGCCAGGGCAUGCAUCCAUUGAACGAUUGAAUUAGCCGUAGGGUAAGCACGCACGCAUGCACAAUUCAGAUUAAACUAGCAUGCGUAUCAAUCAUGCGCUCCCCAGAUUAAGACAAGGCAUAAAGUGAUGCGUCAUAUCAGCAGACAGCGAGUAGAGCAUGAGGGAUUAAGCAGCGCGCAGCAGGAAAUUAAAAGGAAGCAAGCGAUAGCCGAUAGGUACCGCACCGGAUCUCAUCCUACGGUCAUCACCACAUUGUUGUGANNNNNNNNNNNNNNNNNNNNNNNNNNNNNNNNNNNNNNNNNNNNNNNNNNNNNNNNNNNNNNNNNNNNNNNNNNNNNNNNNNNNNNNNNNNNNNNNNNNNNNNNNNNNNNNNNNNNNNNNNNNNNNNNNNNNNNNNNNNNNNNNNNNNNNNNNNNNNNNNNNNNNNNNNNNNNNNNNNNNNNNNNNNNNNNNNNNNNNNNNNNNNNNNNNNNNNNNNNNNNNNNNNNNNNNNNNNNNNNNNNNNNNNNNNNNNNNNNNNNNNNNNNNNNNNNNNNNNNNNNNNNNNNNNNNNNNNNNNNNNNNNNNNNNNNNNNNNNNNNACGUUACACCUGGACUGCGAAGGCCCCGCCCCGUGUUGCACAGGAGGGAGAAAACCCCACCCGGGGUGGGGGUGCCGGGCGGGGCGGGGGGCGGGGGUUCUCUCCCUUUCGGCAGGGGGGGGGCCCGUGCUAGUCCGGAAAAAGAUCCCCUUUCCUGUACCCCACAAGUCCGGUCGCUGGUCGCUUAACAAUCUUCCUCGCUUGCACAGUCAACCGUAACGCUCCCUGGUCCCACAAAACUCACAUUGCCAUCGCCGAUCAACUUGACUACCAAGAAACCGUUCGCUUCAGCUUAUCAGCCGGUUUAUCAGUCAUCAAAUAGUAUUUUUCUCUUACAACAAAUCAGCCGUUUCAGCUUUUCAGCCAGCUUAUGUCCAGCCGAACAAGUCGCAUGUCUAACCAUUCACACCGCCCAAUCCCAACAUCCCGUUCAGUUUUUUUAGAAUUCCAAGGGCAAAACCCCGAUCGAUUGCAUUGCAAAAGACACAAAAUAGUAGUGUUUUUUAGCACUUUGUGUUAACACCCGAUCAUCCAGAACAGAGCACUCAUAUUAAAAAAAUAUCCGGCACCAGGUUUUCUCUCAUAUUCGCUUCACACGAGGUUUUCCAUGGAUGCCUCCUCAAGAAUUCAAGAUGAUCCACCAGCCGUUCCAACUUUGCCAACUACACCUCGUGUUGCUUCAAUUGCUUCAUAGGGCAUAUCACACCUCAAUUCCUAGACUGGCUCGUGGGAAAGAAUAAGUAUUUGAGUUUUCUCUUUUAUAAAAAAAGUCAAAAGAAAAAUAAUAUGUGCUUCCUCCGUUCAGAAUGUAGCAUGUAGCGUUUUAACUUUUUUAAUACAACAAAAUUUGCUAUGCAUCAAGUACGUAACAAUUUUAUGGAUAUGGAAAAGUACAUUUUGGAACCGACGGAAGUACGGAACGGACGGAGUAGGAUCCAAACCGGAUCGAACCGGGGGACCCGCGGAAACGGCCCUCGCUUUCUCGUCUCCGUCCCCAUCUUCGUGGGAAGGAAGAAAGGCGCCUAAACCCCAGGAGGCAUCCUUAAAAAAGAAACCCAGGAGGCUAGGAUAGUGGUCGGACCUCGUACUCGAUCUCGAUGGCGAUGCGGCGGCGCUCCGUUCGGGACUCGCCGCUGUGCCGCCUCCGCGCCCGACGAAUUCUUUCCGCCUUUGUGAAGAUCCACCGCGAGUACGCUCUCUCCUUCCUCAAUUUCGAUCUGUACCCAAUCAGAUUAGACCCUUUGAUCGACCAUCCAUUGAUUCCCCAGCCUCGGAUCAAGAUCAAAUUCACCGCCCCUCUUUGUCCUGACACUCUUUUGCUUCCUGAUGAUCAGGGCGGGGAAGCCCGUGGAGGUGUUUGAGGCUGCGCGCGUCGAGCGGAUGCUGCGGUCGGGGCAGUCGGCCGACGCGGAGCAUUACCUGGAGCGUUUCCUGCCGCCCAUCCCCGUCACGGACCGGAGCCCGCUGUCCAUCCUGCUCCGGGUCCACAUCCGCGUCUUCAGGAUCCUCUCCAAGGUCGCCGCCGGUGGUCCAUCGGGUGCAAAGAUGGCCGCACUCUUCGCAAACCCCAGCGAGUACAUGCUCCGGAGCCCCUACAGCGCCCGCCUGCACAAGAUCAUCGCCGGAAUGCACGCAGACAACAAGAGGUACCUUCCUUGCACUGUUGCUUGCUUAAUCAUCUUUUACGGUGGACACCACCCACUGUUUUCUUCGUUUAAUUUUGGUUUGCCUGAUUGAUCCUGCUUAAUUUAACUGCAUUGUACUUCUAUGUGGAGUCCUUAUUGAGCGUGCCAGGAUGCCAAGUCGUCUUACUGCUAGUGCUAGCUAAUUGCAGUCACACUGUAUGCAACUAAUACUCCGAGCGAUUGCUUGAUGUGCGAUAGGGCCUCCAUGCUUUGGCAGAAGGUCGAGCCGGAUGCUCUGGACAAGAUCAUGGACAUGGUUGCUAGGUGUCCUGAACUGCAAGGUGAGGUGCGAUUGCCGCGUAAAAGGCCUCUGCUGUGGGACGCUGCCCCUAACAGGUUUGCCAACUGCUUGAUUGCUUCGCCACCCCCCCCCCCCCCCCCCCCCCCCCACAAUCUUAAUUAGUUACUCAUUAGCUGGCUUUAUCUCUUCAGAUACUUACUUAAAUUUGUUCGUAGCUACUGCAGUUCACUGAAUCAACAAUGGAUUCUUGAUUUGUUCUUACAUUUGUUCUGCUAAUGAAACAGUCUAAGGCAGUGCCCAAGCCGUUGCAGGAAUACAACCAACUGGGCACCAUCAAAUGUUCUCAUUCGUAAAUUUCUGCAGAAGAGGUAACGGGCAAGCAGAUUUUUUUUUUGUUCGUUCUGCUGUUCCCAGUUUGCAACUUUCCAUGUCAAAAGUUUGACACAAUUCUUUCAUCCAGGCUACUUUUGACUCAGGGGAAAACUCAUUCAGGUACGUUUUCUUUUGGUUCUCUAGUAGGUGCACUGAGAGUAACCGGAUCCUUUGUGAGAUCAUUGCACAAUGUGUGUAGUUCAUUUGCUGAUAUACAUGAUCACACUUUACUUACAUAUCUAUAAUAUGGCAGCGCUCUCAGGAAAUGCAUCCUCUCAAUCUGCUGUGCCACACACAAAACUGGAGACACUUGCGUCGUUCUAAACAAGCAAGACAUCGCAUCGAUGAACUCGACCCCAAGGCAUUACAUGAUUGGAGGUUGUUGCAGAUAAUGGAUAUAUGAAGGCUUGAUAGCACUGCAAAUAUGAACUUGUGGCGUUGUCUUUUUGGUCAGGCUGUAACUAUGAACUUGUGGAUAUAUGAAGGUUGCAGAUAAUGGUUGUUUAGGCAUGCGAAAUGAAUGAUGUGUUUUGUUGCCACUGUCUGUCUACUCUUGGUGCAUGUCCAUGCGGGGCUUGGCCAAACUGGAGUCACCCACCGUGCACUGCAAAAUGGAACUCCUCCGGACGCAAGUAGGACUCGUGGGCCGGCAACGUGGGCUUCUGGCCCGCGAAGAGGAAGAAGAAGCCGCCUCCGUUUUUUGCUUCUUGGCUGGCUGGCCUGGCUCUCCCUGUCGCGGAAGGGAUGGAUGGCGUGUGCGGCUGGAGGCGGCUCGCAAGGGGCGCGGUGGAGAUGCGACCCCGCGCAGGAGCCCUCCUCGCCUCCCGUCCUCCUCCUACCCGCCGAGACGCUGCUGUGAUGCGGGCCAGCUAGACUCGUGUAGAAGAAGCACAGGCGAAACAAGGAGAAGCCGGCGGAGACAACCGGAGGCGCGCAGGCGGCCGAGCCAAUCCACCUCGUACGCCCCCCUUCUUCCCUCCUCCCCCUUCGCUCAGUCAGAUUUGUGUGCUGCUGCGCCUGCGUGCUCAGAUUUGGUUGCUGCCUCGCUGCGUCUGCGCGGGAUCGAUUACUGUCAGAUGCUUUUGGUCUCCGUGUGCCGGGAUCGUGGAUUCGUGGUCGUCGUCGCGUCUGCUUCAUUGCCUCUUAUUAGAGACUUGGGAGCAUCUAGGAGAGCUGCUGAAUCCAUUCCCUUCGAAGAAACUGACGCUGUGAUUGUACUCCGUGCAAGCAGAAAAUAAGUUGUUGGGUGAACUGAAAAAAGGGAAUGGACACUAGCUCAUGGGUUUGAUUUUUUUAUGAAAUUGAUUGCGAUUGAACCAAUUUUUUUCUGUUUGAAUUGUUUCGCAGUGUGUCACGCUUUCCUCUCCAUUGAGUAGCUGGAAAUCGCGCCUCUAAUUUCCAGCUCUGUUCACCACGCCUGCAAUGUUAUUCAUUCAUACUAUAAUGGUCUUCCCUGGUCUACUGUCAACUUAUAAUCUUCCGCUUUUUUCUCUUCGCCAUUGUUGCGCAGGAUGUUGGCAAAAUCACCAGCAUUGCCUUUAGUGACUGCGGAUACUACUGCAUUUCGCUUCUGUACUACUGUAAGAUGCUCCGUUUAACUUGUUCCUCUGUAAGAUGUUUGUAAAUCACCACUUCACCAGCAUUGACCCUUGAGCAUUAUGUGUUUCAUUCCUCCAGGGCAAUAUCUUGAGUCCACCGGUUGUGAAACUCUCUCACAAUAAAUGCCAAGGAAGAUUGAAUGUCCAGCAAAACAUUGAUCUUGGUAAACCUCAAGAUGCGACUCGGAAAUGGCGGGUGCUAUCAGCUGAUCAAGCUCAAGCUUCUGUCGUAGAUGUUGAUGAAGAGUGCAAACAGGUGCUCACUUCACUAAAUUUCUCCACUGAAGAUGCUGAGAAGAUGCUGAAGAAGGCAUUUGGAUGGAUCCACUCGCCGUAUUGGAGCGAAGAGAGAAAGAAAGAGGUUCCAAGUGCUGAGGUGGUAACUGGAGUAUUAGACUACAUCAGGAGUCUUGGGCUAUCUGAUGAAGACCUUCACAAGUUGCUGAAGAAAUUUCCAGAAGUUCUUGGUUGUGAUCUUGACAGGGAGGUGAAGCUGAAUGUGAGCAAGCUGGACAGUGAGUGGGGAAUAAAUGGGAAAACUUUGCGGAGUCUUCUCCUGAGAAAUCCAAAAGUUUUGGGCUACAAUAUUGAUUGCAGAGGGGAUUGCAUGGCACAGUGCACCCGUUGUUGGGUUAGGUUCUAAUGUUCCAUUCUACAUGACUACAUCACUAUACAGAAAUCCCAGAGGGCAUUCUGCUGGCUGUGAAGAAAUGCAGAUGGCAUUUUACUGGCCAUUUUUCUGUAAACUAGCACCUGCCAAAUACAAAUGCAUAUCCGUAGUUGAUGGAUAGACACUUGUUACUUCAUGAAUGCAUAUUCAAGAGCCAUACUGUCGGUAAAAAAGUUGCAAUAAAUAUGACGAUACCUGAAUGAUCACUGAUUCGUUUCAGCCAUUUUUCAUUUGUUCUGUUCUGGAUUGCUGUUAUCAUCAGAGUAGUUUAGUUGUCUUAUAUGAGGUUCUAUCAUUGUGUUUUGAUGCAUCCACCAUUAUCCUGACAUGUUUCCAGUGAUAAAGGUGAAAAAUGCAGAGUGUGAUAAACUAGACCUGGGUUAAUUGCUCCACUGAAGAUGCUGAGAAGAUGUUGAAAAAGACAUUUGGAUGGAUCCACUCGCCAUAUUGGAGUGAAAAGGAUGAGGUUCCAAAUGCUGAGUUGGUAACUUGAGUAUUGAACUAUACAAGGAGUCUCGUGCUAUCUGAUGAAGUCCUUCACAGGUUGCUGAAGAAAUUUCCAGGAAGUUCUUGGGUGUGAUCUUGACAGCGAGGUGAAGCUGAAAGUGAGCAAGCUGGACAGUGACCGUGAAAUAAUGAUUGCAGAUUGCAUGUCACAGUGUGUUCAUUGUUGGGUUUGGUUAUAAAUGUUCUGUUCUAUAUGACAACGUUAUUGUUCAGAAACUUCCGAGGACAUUUUGUUGGUGUGAAAAUUUGGAUGACAUUUCACUGAGUUUUUUAUAUCUAUAAACUAGCACCUGGCAAAUAUAGAAACACAUUUGUAAUUGAUGGAUGUACCCUAUUUAGUUCAUGUACUCUACAUAUUCAAGUGUCAAACCAUACUGGCUGUAGAAGAGUUGCAAAAACAUAUGCCCAGUACCUGAAUGAUCUGUCAUAGUUCAAUCAUUUGCUUUUGUUCUGUUCUGUAUUGCUGUGGCCAUGAUUGUCUUAUAGUGAGGUUCUGUUGCUGUGUCGUUGUGCUUUGAUGCAUCCACCGUUAUCCUGGCAUGUUUCCAAAGAUAAAGGUGACAAAUGCAGGUGGUAUCCCUGUCCUGUCUUAUGAUUCUGUAAAUUGCUUGCUUCCGAUAUGUACAUGUGAUUUCAGGCUUCUGAAUUAUGAACGACUUCUUUAUACUUCUUCGAGCUUAUAAUCUGUUUUGUGCUGUUGUGUGCAAAAUUUACAAGAUCCUUUUUAAAAGUUGCAUUGAAAUAAAUUGAUCAAAAAAUCUACUAUCCAUUUGCAAUGCCCUAUCAGUUGGAGUUGUGAAUUCCCUAAGAAAGGGAAAAACAAUUUGCAUUUGGAUAUGUUUCAGUGCACACUUUCCUAAUUCUUCUACAGGCUACUGCCAGUUGACUAAGGACAAGUCUGAAACUAUUCACCGUUUUCUCUUUCUCCGUGGAUAAACCCCUUCAGGUUCAGGUUUUAGAAAUCUGCAAUUCCUGGUGCCCCGAAGAGAUCAAACCCUGGAUAGUCACAGGAAUAAAGGUCCAUCGGCGAGAGGGACCCUCGCCCCUCGUCCAAACAUUGUCCAUCGACGUUGAGAGCGAAGCCUUUGAUGUCAGAACAGCUAAGACCAUCAAACAUGCUGUCUGAGAAGCACUCCGUGCUCGCCAUUCUGCUUACGGCCUCAGUGUCCAUCAGCAGCUGAUCAGAGGCACUGCCAUGACCAUUGGCAGCGGAGUGAUCGUCCUCCUCGGGCGGCAGCGCCGGCGCGUGGCCGUCGAAGGCGGCGACAUGGCCGAAGAGCUUGUCCUUCCUGGAGAAGGAGGUGCCGCAGGAGCAGACCCAGCGGUCGCGGCCGCAGUGCUUCUCGUGCGUGCGGAGGUCGGCGAGCACGGAGAAGCGCUUGACGUUGCACCUUCGGCAGGUGUAGCUCUUGUCGCAGUGGCUCCGCCGGUAGUGGUUCUUCACGCAGACGGCCGUCUUGAGCGGCUGGAAGCUCCGGUGCUCCCUGUUCCGCUUGCACCCCACGAAGGGGCACGAGUAGAGGCACCGGGCCGCCGCCCCCGGCGGCGGCGGCGCGUCCCUGCCGGUGGCGGGCUUGGCGAGCGCGGCCGCCGUCUUGUACUCCUCGCCGUGGCCGCGCAUGUGCAUGCGCAGGUUAGCGUCGCGCUUGAAGCCCUUGCCGCAGACCUUGCACGAGUGCACGUGCGGCGCCAGGAUCUCCUCCUUGCCGAGCUCGAUCACCUCGUAGGAGCCGGCCGGUGGCAGGCGGUCGUCGUCGUCCUCCUCGGCGUGGAGGUCGCGGUCGGACGAAUCGCUGUCCCCUUCGUUCGGAGACGCCGCGGCCUCCUCCGCCGUGGCCCCGCUGGCCGCGGCGAGGCUUUUGGAGAUGGAGACGAGCUGCACGGCGAUGCAGCUGAGCUCGGCAGACACGAUCUGCCGCGGCGGCCGCGGCGCCGAGCAGAUGAUGCCGCGGAGGUGCGCGAUCUUCUGCUCCAGGAAGGUCAGGUACGUGAGCAACGUCCUUGGGUCGUCCUGCUGCUGGUGAGUCUCCGUGGCGCCUUCAAGAUUACUGCAAACCUCCAUGAUCAAUCUCGAUCGAUCCCUGAAACAGCAGCAGCAGCAGCAAAUGAAUCAGCCAAUGCAAGAAGGUGACGAAACAGUAACGAUCCAAACGGAGUAAUAGUAAACUAAUAAUCUUGAAGAAUGGCAUUAUCUACUUACAGAGAUAACUCUUGAAUUAUCGAGUAGCGGAGUUCCUCCUCUCUGUUGCUUGCUCUUGCGUGUCGGUGCUGACCGGUGAAGUGCGUGUCCUGCUGAGCUAAUCGAGCUGGUGUUAUAUAGGGGCAUCAAAAAAUGAAGCUGCCCGUAAUCAGGCAAGGGUGCCGUUGCCGCCGCCGCAGCCGCCACGUGUGCGUGGGCUCCAUGGCGGCGGCUCACGGACGGGUCGGGUCAGCUCCUGCGUCAGCGUCCGCGUCACUGUCCUGGCGGGCAGAUGGAUGGAAGACAGCAAAGGGGUUGUGCGCACGGCCGGGUUGGUGGACCGGCGUGGACUCGCGGUAGUUGCGGUGCCCGGCUGGCCCUUGGGGCUCUGCCUUGGGCCACGAAAGCGACGCGCCAGUCAGUCCCUGCCCCCUUCUGAUGCUAAAUUCGCACGCGUUGAAGAUGCCAACGGGAGCGGCUUGCUCGAGCUGAUCAGUCGCUUCCAUGAUCGAUCGCUUGUGUUUUUUUGUCUACCAAUCCCCUCUUAUCGAGCAUCUGAUGACUAUUUCUGGAUGUUCACACUAGACACCGUGUGCCUUUUACCCUCUUGGGCAUCUGAUUGCGCGUGUACGUUCACACGCAGUGGAGAACCAACAUCUAUAAAAUAUAUUGCAAAAUAUUAUUUAUAAUUAAUCUAGUAACAUUAAUCUAGUAACUUAAGGCAGGGAGGGGAUCAUGCACCACUCUCUCAUUCUCUGAUUUUUUUUCCAUUUCCCGAAUGUUCCAAGUUUACAUUUGUAGUGUGAAAUUGCAUUGUUUUGAUUCAACAAUGUGAAUGUGGCCAUUUCAGAACAUGCUAGUUUAAUUUGAUGGAUUUUAUUGAGUCGGUAGUGAUCUGAAUUUUAAGUUACUUUCUCUAAUCACAAAUAGAAGUUUAUCUAGGUUCGUACUGAGUCGAGUUUUAAAAUUUUGACUACCAACAUCUAUAAAAUAUAUUGCAAAAAUAUUUUUUAUAUUUAAUCUAGUAACAUAAAAAUUUUCCUUUGAAAAAAGUAAUGCUUGCAGUUUAAAAUGUUAGGACAAAACUAUUGUGAUGGGGAAAAAAUAUGAAAUACCAUAUGUAUCUUCCAUCUGUGACUCAAAACACUUUAUUCUGUCGUUAUACAAAGUACUUCUUAAUCCCUGAGUGUGAGUCUCGAGGAGAAUAGCAACGCAAACUUUGCAAGCUUAUUAAUUAAAACACCCAUGUACGUGUCAGCCUAGGCAUAGAGUUUAAAUUACUACGGGUAAUCAAAUGAAAACAAAGAUCCCUUUGGUAGAGCUCAACUGGCCGGCGUCAGUGACCAAGUCAGAUUAGACAGCGCCAAUCCCAGCAUCCCCCGAGCAGCAAGGAGAGUGACGGCGAAUGAACUGCUCCCUCAAAAGCGAAUCAAGACGCGCUUGCUCUUGUUGUUCCCGGCUUUACGGGUGGGUUUGAAGGCCAGCUUUAUCUGCCCCUUGGCGUAACCCAGCGUUGUUAUUGAACCGUGCGGUGCUGUCAACGUCCAUUCAUCCACGUGCACGUGUCCAAAAUUACUAUUCAAAGUUCAACUCUACCUCGGCACUGUUGUUAAGGUGUUCACGUCAACUCUACCUCGGUGUCUUCGAUUCUUAACAAAAAAAAAACGUUCUAUGCACGUUCUCAAGGGGGAAAAAAAGGUCGAUGUUAGCUCCCAUACCUGAGCUUCCGUUCUCGAGCCCAAUUCUCAAGGCUCAUCAUUACGCUAUGGUUGAUCAUUGUUAUAAAUUACUCUCGUUGUUACGCUAACGCAACUGAGCACAAAGACUUACCGGUGAGGUUUCAUUUUUUAAUACAAUAGGCAGGAGGUAGCUCUUUUGUUUUGUUUAAAGAAAACAAGAAUUAAGUACGAAAAAAAUACGGGUGGAGACCCGUAAGUCCGGUCACAUUGCUUUGCUCCAUGCGAAGCCAACAGCUCUACCCUGAGCACCAAAUCUACACCAAUGCCAUCCUAACUCAAUUAUAAUAGACGUGUCUCGUCAUGAAGCCCCCUUAUUGGUCAGUCCGAGAUUGCUACCCAUGGCUAGUGGUACCCAACUGCUUCUAUCCACAAAGUUUUCCUAUCGUCUAAGGAUCUCUUCUAGCUCCCCAUAUAUACUCAUUAUGGAAACCGCGACGUCAACGUUUGCGGCAUGUAGGGGCUGCUCAUCUCCUUCCCUUCUUUCCCCCCUCUUCUUCUUCCCUUCUUCUUCCUUUUGCUUUUAUUUUUCUGCCUCUUCAUCCAUUUAGAAAAUUUAGAAAGAACUUUGAGGGUUCCAUGGACUGCAUGGGGAGCAGGGGGCUCAAGCCCCCAGCCAGCCCCCACGCCUGCAUGGUACAGCCGAAAUGUGCCAAAUUUGAAGGUAUUAUGGACCGUAAAAUGGCCCAGGUCGGCCUCAGUUGCGGUAUGGGUUGUGGGCUGCUGCCUGCACCAUUAUGGGCCCUUCAUUUGGUGAUGUUCGUCUUGGGCCUUCGUGACGUUGGUUCAAUCGAGCCAUUUAAUCAGCCUGGUCGUUUUACGUGGGCCUAUAUUUAUAUAGAUGGAGCAAGGAAUUCACAUGCCCAUUUAAGCAAGAAUCACAAGAACAAGGACAAAUCUGGUUGCAAAGACGAUAAUACGCGCACCGCGAUUCACGUGUGAUUAUGGGCACAAGUAAAGAUCAUCUGCGCCCUCAAGGGAAAAAAAAAAGAGGUGCUUCGUUUAGGCUUGGCCCCGGGAUGGAAGAGAUUGGCUGCCAGAAUGGGAUUAACUGACGCCGUCGAACUUGCUGCUCAUCAGCUUUAGCGUCGCGCUCGGCAGCACCCGGUUCACCUGAGGUUGCUCUGCACAAAUUAGAAACGAAUCACACGGAUGCGUAGGCGUCGCGAGGUUGAUGAUGAGUCGAUGAAAGCUUAAUUAAUUACUCUUGACCGCCUCCAGCUCCGACGGCGUCAGCCUCGCCGAGAAGCCGCUCAUGACGUUCUUGUAGUUGUACAGGAUCGCCGCCUUCGCCUUCUCCUCGCUUCAUCCAUACGUACGGACAACAGUAAGAUCGCUCAACUCUUCUCCAUUCAGAGAUCGAUCGUAGUAUUAUUGACACGCUUACCCGCCGAGGGCGGCGGCGAGGAUGCCGAGCUGGUACUUCUUGCAGUCGACGCCCGGGGGGUGGGGGUCCACGUAGACGAGGUAAUUGGCGGCGGCGUGCUCCUCCGCCGCGGCGCCGGCCAUGGCGGCAGCAGACGCCGUCGCGACGGCGAGGGAGACGAGGACGAGGACGAGGACGACGGAGAUGGACGCCGAAUGCUUCAUGGCAGGGGAUGCGGUUCGUGGUUCAACCGGAUCCACCAUGUGUUCUGAGGCAGGCCAAGUUAUAGCCGCGUUUGUGAGGAUGGGACGAGGGGUCCGUAGUGAACGGCGGCGCUCUUCAGUCGGAGCGGUAGGAAAUGCCGUUGCUGCAGCUCCAAAAAUAGGAGAUUGGAAGCUCCUCUGGUGGACAUCGAAAGAUCAGACAAAAUUCGCAGAGAAAUGCAACGGACAGACUUGUUAUGGACAACUUGCUUGUAAAUUUACAUGUACGUCUUUGAUCUGUAUUAAGAAGAAAACAGAACGUAUUUUACGCGUACAGCUGACGAUUAAAAUUCCAGAAGAAGCUUCGUAGUGCCACUUAGUUUCUUCAUCAUCACGUAGGGUUAACACGAUCGACGAGCAAUAUACAUGAUGAUGCAACGUGCGGCUAGCGUUUUCAUCAGUUGGGGGUCAUCGAUACGGGCGCGACGGCGGCGCGUCCGCCGUGCUCGGUCUCGUCGGCGCCGUGCUUGGUGAUGUCGUAGAGCUCGCCGUCGCCCCAGAGCGCGUAGGCCUCCUCGCCGUGCACGGCGUCGUCCCCGACCUCGAGCUUCUCCUCGGGCAUGCGCAGCGGGACGACGGCGUUGAUGGCGACGCAGAUGACCGACGUGACGACCACGUUCCAGCCGAUGACGAAGAGCGCGCCGGCCAGCUGCUUCCCGAACUGCGCGCCGCCGGCGCCGCCGUAGAAGGCGCCCCGGGAGUUGGUCACGGGGAGGAAGAGGUUGCACAGGGUGGGGUCCGCGAGGAGGCCCGUCAGCAGGCCGCCCAGGAGACCCGCCACGCCGUGCGUGUGGAUGACGCCCAGCGUGUCGUCCACGCGCUUCAGGAACCUCAACCGCUUGUGCAGCUUCAUCAUCGUGUACCACGGGAUGCUACCGGCGAGCACCCCCAUCACCAGCGCCGCCCAGCCCUGAACCACACCUGCAUCCAUGUUCCAUGGGCACAGAAGAUCAGAUGGCAAGGUCAAGAUGUCAAACGUACACCAAAAUUUACUGCAGAAAUCAGGAAAAAUGCUGUGACUGUAGAAUAUGAACAUCUGAAUCCCCUAGCUGUGUUUUUCUUCCCCGUCAUUUUCAUACCUACUAACCGAAAUUUGUCUGCAAUGAAAAGCUGCAGAAUAAAAGGGGACAAAUUUUGACUUUGACUUUGCUUUACUUGUGAUAAGUACUGACAAUAGCGACCAGAUACUGACAAUAGCGUGUUCUCGUGCUGGUCAUAGGUUGCUCCGAUGCGACUUGAGCUGGCAGAAGAUGAAUCUUCCUUGGAUCCACAAUCAAGGCCAUGUUUAGUUACUCCCAACUCCCAACUUUGACACUAUGCAAAAAGAAGAUUCCCCAUCACAUCAAACUUGCGGUACAUGCAUGGAGUACUAAAUGUAGAUGAAAUUAAAAACUAAUUGCACAGUUUUGUUGUACUUUGCGAGACGAAUCUUUUGAGCCUAAUUAGUCAAUAUUUGGACAAUAAUUCACAAAUACAAACGAAACGCUACAGUGUGCUACAGUGCUGUAACAGUAAUUUGGCACCUCCCAAAUUCCCCAACUAAACACGGCCCAAGUUAUUUUGAAUUCAAAGUCAACCAUUCAACCAUUGGAUGCUGUGUGCUUUGCAGCACUACUAGUGAUAGGGAUAGGGAUAAUUUUCUUUGCAACCCCACCUGUGCCUACAGCUACAGCUACAGCUACAGCUAAGCUACCAGGAAAUUCGGAGGAGGAAAAUUGGUGCGCCGCGACCGAGGGACGACGACUUGCUAGCCAUCGAGCUGGGAUUACCUGCGCCGGGCGUGAUGCAGACGAGGCCCGUGAUCAUGCCCUGGACGGCGCCGAUGACGGAGGGCUUGCCGAAGAAGAUGACGUCGAGGCAGGUCCAGACGAUGAGGCUCAUGGCCGUGCAGAUGUUGGUGUUCACCACCGACAUGGACGCCACCGAGUUGGCGGCGUAGGGCCCGCCGCCGUUGAACCCGGCCCACCCCAUCCACAGCAGCCCGGCGCCGGUGAGCGUGAACAGGAUGUUGUUGGGCGGGAACCUCUCCCGGUCCUUCUGCGCCCGAGGGCCCACCUGCAGCCGCCAGCAUGCACACAUAUAUACGCAUCAUUCACUCGCUAGUCGCUACUGCACGCAAUAGAGUCUAGAGAUCAUACCCAGUAUGCGGCGGUGAACCCGGCGAAGCCGGCGGAGAGGUGGAUGACGUAGCCGCCGCAGUAGUCGAUGACGCCCCACUGGAAGAGGAAUCCGCCGCCCCAGACGGAGAAGGCGCCGAUGGUGUAGGAGAAGGUGAGCCAGAGCGGGACGAAGAUCAUCCACGCCAGGAAGCUCAUCCGCCCCAGCAGCGACCCGGCGACCAGGAUCAGCGUGAUGGCGGCGAACACGCACUGGAAGUACACCACCGUCGCCAUCGGGUAGAAGGGCUCCACGGCGGGGGUCUCGAUGGUGGCGCCGCCGGCGCGGUAGUGCGCCGUCGCCGGCAGGGCGGCCUGGCCGAUGAGGAACCCCUGGUUGAGCGCGGGCCGGGCCUUGCCCCAGAUGGGGAUCAGCUUGUCGCCGAAGGACAUGUUGUAGGCCCAGGUGACCCAGCAGAUCCAGACGGCGGCGAAGGCGUACAGCGCCAUGAAGGCCGAGUUGACGGCCCACUUCUUCUUCACCACGCCGCCGUAGAGGACCACCAGACCAGGGAAGCUCUGCAGACCCACCAGAGUCGCCGCCGUCAGCUGCCACGCGUUGUCGCCCUUGUUCAGCCAGUCCGGCGACGCCGCCGAGCCCUGGUACGCCAGGGGAAACCCCGACGACGUCGACAUGGUCGUAUAGCACGACGGCGACGGCGACCAGAAGCGCGGAAGAACGCAGGCUCCUCUCCUUGAUCUCAGGCGACAGGUGAGGGGUUUGGAAGUACUAACCCCUCGAAGACUGUUUAUAGAGAAAGUGCUUCGCCGUGAUGAGUGGCGGCGUCAAGCAGACUCCGUCGGCUCUCGGUCUCUGACCGGUGCGGCAACCACUAGCAAGUAUCACUAACUGAAGAGGGAGAUUCUUGCAUGCACGUCACACGCUCGUUUUGAAUAUUCUGUCACUAGUACAGAAUAUUAGCGUUGAUUUUUGCAGCGUUUCCCAAUUAAAAAUAUCCGCUUUUCAGAUAUUUUAUACUGAAUACAGUACAAUGCUGUAUGCAGGAAACAAUAAGCACCACACAGUUCCAGAACAGAGCCAUGGAAAAUACAAGCGUUACACGUACUACUGACGCAAGCGUGACAAUGCAUGAUGGUUAAGUUACGUCAACCAAAGGCAUCGUGGUCGGCUUGUAAGUAGUACAAGUCAACGCCCUAAUGCUAACCGAUAAAAUUCCAUGUCUAGCAUCUAGCAACUGCUAUACACGAUGUGCCCAUGAUUUGUAGUUGGUUUAUUCUUGGAUCACACUGCAGUGUACAUGCAGCUGUACAAGCUUAAGCCCACAACUGAAACUAGCUUGUGGUACAAAAACGUACAGUUUACUACUAGAAGUAACCAUACAAGACUCAAACAUCUUUGUUGUCACUUUCGCAUUCAGCGCGUCAGCUCUGACAUUAUCAAUCCCAAAUCCCCAAUCAAAUAAGCAGGCUUCCAGAGUCAGAUUGGAUUCGUGACUCAGGUAAUCUGUUUGGGAUUAUGCACCUUUGAAGCUUCAAAAAUAAACCAACGCAUAGACUUUUUCUUCUACAUGUAUGAUGGCUUACAUCACAGCUGUGCAUGCAGUUUACAACUCUGUCCUCGUUUGAGUACAAGCAACUUGAACUCUGAAGUUCAGUCACUCGCACAAUUUCAUUGGAUAAAAGAAUUCACACGACGAAUUGAAUACCGUCAGCUGUUUGCAUUAUGAGAGCAAGCAGAAGAUUUGGCUUCAUGAGCAGAAUCUUCCGUUGAGAUUGGAGAUCAGACAUCGUUGUCAGAGCUAGUACAGCAAAUGGUCUGUGCAUCUGCUGAAACGACCUGCUUUGCGAUUCUGACCAGUUUGGCACUUGUUAGUUUGCUCUACCAUUCAGCAACAGAAACCCUAAAACCACGCUGUCUGAAGUAUCUAUCGCCGACGCGCGAUGCAACCGUCAAAAGGAAGCUGCUGGUGAAAAAUUUCAAAGCUAUCUCCGAGAAAUCAUAGGCGCCAAAUGAGUUAUCAUGCUGCCAAUGAUAUCGUCAGUUCAGUUCAGGAUAUUGUUCGUUCGUCGGAUCGAGUAGCGAGCUCCAGAAUAAUGGCAGCUGAUGAAGAGCAUCUGACCCAGCAGGGGACGACCAUCGCUGUCUCUCACCGAACUUAAAACUCCUGAAAGCAUCGAUGUAACGCGUUCAUAGAGAAUAUUCAGCGAAAUUUAAAUUCUGGUUGACAGCUAUCAUCACUGGAGUACUUGACAGGGAUUUGCGCUCUGUAGAAUUUAAUUAAUCUGCUUGAGGCUUGAGUUCGUCUCCAAAGCUUGUAAUUCUGGACAAGCCAAAACGUAACGCAACAGCAUUUGUUCGUUUGCAUCCUGUUUUGUUUAGUUCUGUGAUGGUUUGACUUUGGGCAUUAAUUCACUCGACUCGGUUUCUGAUGCCAAAUGAUCAGGCUGUAGAGUGUAGAGAAAUAUUCCGUCGUGCCCUGGCAUGCAAGUGUCGCAAUCAUAUGUGAAUCCAAUGUGUUCGAUUCAAACCAGUGUUUAAUAACUUUGGUUAUUUGUUUGAGACUUUUCCUUUGGGAAAAAAAACAUUGAAGUUUCUGGCACUGUCCAAGAACGAUUUCAUAUCCGGCUCGGCCAAGCCCAAGCCCGUGUUUGUGGUGCUAAUGGAAAAACUGGCUAAUGUGUAUUUUCAGAAACUGUAAAUGGGCCGUCCAAAGAGGAAAGACAACCUCAUUGGACCGCUCGCUGGUGGCCCAGUCUAGAAGACAACCUGGGUCCACAAGCCUCCAACUCGGCAAUUUUGGCGCCUUAGGUUUAUGCCAAGAUUUGUGCUUUAUGACAGUGAGUUAAACAAAACUCAAGUGUUUUUUAGUCUCCAAACACAUGAAUUUGCCAUAUCUUAGCUACGGUUAGUUCAUCUUUUAAUUUCUAACAACGGUGUAAAUAAAAAAUCGGGUCGGGUGUCAGUGACUCCACCUUAAUUUUAUUUAGUACAAAGAUAGAUCAAAUACGAGUCAUAGAUCUCAAAUAUACUUACAUGGUUAAUCAUGUCUUGGGAGCCCUAAAACACUCACAUGCUCUGUAGACGCUCCCGUAGUCCCGUUAUUUACUAUUUACCGAUGCUUUUCGCAGGAGUUCAAAGCUCACAGCGAUGGGGGCGGGUUGGGCAGCCCGGGAAAGCAGACCUUCACGAAGGACGUGCUCGGCAGCGCGGGCGACCGGUAGGCGCUCACGAAGUUGGAGACCUUGAGCCAGCACAGGCCCGAUCCAUCGGAGAGCGCCGUGGACGCCACGCAGGAGACGGCGGCGAGGCAGUUGAGGCGGCAGGCGGUGAUCCCGACGAAGAACUGCUCGGCUGCGACCUCCGGCGGGUAGGUGAGGAACUGCGUGUUGUCGAGCUGGAGCAUGGUGGUGUUGCCGGGGCAGUUCUCGAGGUCCACCUUGCGCCUGCAGCCGUCGCGCGGGUUGGAGGGGUUGCUGAGCUGGAAGUUCUGCGACGGGCACCCGCACACCGGCGACGUGCCGUUGUAGCUGCACACGCCCAUGUCGCCGCAGUAGCCGAACACCUGGCACUGGUCCGCCACCGCCGACCACUGCUCCGACGCCGCGUCGCCGCCGCGCGCCGCGCUGUAGGCGCGGAGGUUGCCGUCGGAGUCGAGCCGCAGGAACCGCAGCAUGUCGCCGCUCUCGCCGUAGUUGCUGCUGUACGCCACCACGAUCGGGGACGACGUCAGCCGGAGGUCGGUCAGCAACACGAGGCCGUUGGUCUGUAUCGUGAGCGUCGGCGAGCUCAGCGUCAUGUGCCCCGUGAAGGACGUGUUGUAGCCUUUGUUGAAGUAGGUGACGGCGGUGUUCUCGCUGGUCCACCUUAGCGUCAGGUUCCCGGAGCUCUUGUCAACGGAGAAGACGUAGGGGCCGGUGGUGAGGUUCAUCCGGGAGGUGAAUUUCUGCGACAUGACCACCGUGUCCGUGGGGUGGUCGAACGACUGCCACAGGGUGGUUUUGGAGUUCUUGAGCACGAGGUUGCCACUCUCCUCGACGGCCGCGGCGGUGACGCCCUGGCCGCCGGUCAUGGACGACCAGAGCACGACCCCAGAUCCGUUGAUGAGCUCGAGGUCACCGCUGGACGAGAGGCGGAGCGAGCCGCCCGAGUCAACGGCGGCGCCGGCGCCCGCGGACCAGACGGGGACCCCGCCGGCGUAGGUGAUGGCGGCAACGAAGAGGGACGGGGAAGUCGAGGACGGCGUGAAGGAGAGCGAGAAUGUGUUGUUGGGCGACGACCAUGACGCCGAGUUGCGCGGCGAGAGGGUCGACCCCAGCGGGAUGUCGGCGCCAUGGGAGAGCAGCGGGAGGAGGAGCGCGAAGCAGCAGAGGAGAGCAAGAUCCCCGGGACGUUGCUGCAAAGCUGGCAUCUUUUCAGCGAUCCCGGGCUAUUGCAGAGAGACAAGAGGUAGAGAGAAGAUGUCUAAUCAAAGGCAGCAAAACCCACCUCCCUCUCCCUUCUCGUCCCUGCAAAUGGUGAGAUAUAUAGCAAUCGAGGCUGAGAUUCUGGUCUUCGCACGAGGCGGGAAGGAGGAAUUUGACUGCCUGACUUGCUAGAACUGUGGACUGACAGAUUGGAAAUGGCCAAGUCAAAUCUCCCAAUUCUUGUUGGCAGCUUUGAUAGACCAUCACUAGGCCUGGGGGUCAACAGAACAGUUGUUCAUGGUUGACUAUUCUUUUUUUUUUUUAUACCUAAGGUGACUGUUCUAGUUGUGGUUCGACCAAAAGAGACGAGACGAGUACUAAAAAAAAACAGGGAAGUCACGAACUUUUCCAAUCCGUGUAUCUGAUAAGGAGUAUCAGUUCUAGAUCAUGCCCAUGAUCUAUUUAUACAGCAUUAUGUUAGCAUCACGGUAUUGUAAUAUUUACAACAAGCAAGAAGGGACAUGACAAUUGUACCAAUAGACACUCUCCGAUACCUUAGGCCAGUCUCGGUGCAUGUUUCAUAGCACCGUUACCAAAACUGCCAUAUCAACUUUUUAAUGAAAUGAAACUGCACUCUCAAUGCAUCAGUUUCAUUGCAUAGUUUCAUAAACAUCCUUCAACAUUUAAUUAUUAUAACGGCCACACCGGCCACUAAGGACUAAAAUGUAGGAGCUGGACCGAAGCUGUGAAAAUAAGCAAGAGUACCUCACAAGAAAAUGUAAUAACCGGCAAAACUUUUCAUAUUUUUUUCCGAAACGAACCGGGUAGGAAAGCUGCCGAUUAUAUUAAAAAGGAGUUCCAGAUUGAAAAAUUACAGAGCACCAAAAGGCGAAAGAAGGAGAAGACAGCUAUUAAUUACACUUUAGAGAGUAUAAUGCAUCAACAGCGCGGCAGCAGAGUGGAGAGAUGCUUUGCCCCUGCUAUGAUCCACAUCACAUCUUCAUCUUUAAGUCUUGUAAAGAUCAUGUUGAUUGUAGAUUUCCUGUUGUUAAAAAUUCUCGAAUUUCUCUCUCUCCACACUGUCCAUAGAGUGAGCAUAUGACCCUCAUCUUGAGCAGUUAGCUUCUCAGUUUCAACGAUAAAUAGAAAAGGGUGGCACGACAUAUGUUAGAAAGCACAUCCGUAGUAAAUUUAUCAGCUGGCUCAAUCACAUACAAGCCCAUGAGGCAUCAAUAUUUAUUUCAACAGUCCAUUCAUCACAUAUAACCGUUCUUCUAUGUACUCUUGGGCCGGUAGGCAGUCGUACAUUUUUUACUGAGAAGCUAAAAAAGAACAUGAACAGAUAACAACACACAUGGGUUCCGUUUGUAGUUGUGGCUGAACCUUUUAGAGAUAGGGCAUUUUGUUACAACUAAGGUACCACCAGCCACAGGUUAAGAUCCAAAACAAACACAGCACGACAAAUUCGACCGGGCUUGUACCAAACGGCAAAGACUAACUGCAACGAAUGUUUGUUCCAACAUUGAGCUUCUCUCCACCAUGACAAACCCUUCGGCGUCGUCGGGAGCAAUUGCUGGCUAGUGCAGCGGAGAGAGAUAGAGAGAGGAGGAAGUGUACCGGGUCGCAGUCGUCUCCUCCUGUUCCCCUCGGCUGAGGAGCUUAGCGAGGGCGGCGGCUCGCAAUUGCCUGCCGGUGUUGGCGCCGUGAGUAAGAGAUUGCGAUUGAGUGGUGAAAUGAGAAGAGGAAGCAAUUCACUGGGGGCAUUUGCAAUUUUGUUCUCCUGAAUGGUUGUGCCCUACUGAACUGUAACAUAAAUUUAAAGGAGGUCAGGGGUCUAACUGCCAAAGAAAAACGAACGGUACCUGGUGCGAGAUGCCCAGAUCCAACGCUCCGUUAACGAAAGGCGAAGGCAGCGAGGAAUGCGAGUAGGCGGGGAGAGUGAGUGUGCGGUGGCAGCGGCGAGAGGAGACGAAAGGGAACAAUGCAGGUGCUGGCAAGGGCGUCGCGGGGGAUCGCGGCGGUGGUGCGCCCGUCAACGAUGGAGGCAGCGCACGGCAGCUAGCUGUAGCCCAGGGCAUUGUGGUGUAGGUGAGGGAUGGGAACCUCGACCGGGCGCUGUUGGCCUGGCGGUGCCGACACCGCGAGCGAGAGAUUGCGAUUUGGCGGUGAAAUGAGAAGAGGAAUCAUUCCAUGGGGCAUUUGCAAAUUUGUUUCCAGAAUGGUUGUGCCCUACUGAACUAUAACGGAAAUUUAAAAGAGGACAGGGGUCUAACUGUUAAAGAAAAACGAACGGUACAGACGCCCAGAUCCAACGCUGAACGCGAGUAGGCGGGGAGAAGUGUGCGGCGGCGGCGGCGGCGGCGGCGAGAGGAUACGAAAGGAAACGAUGCAGGCGCUGGCAAGGGCGUCGCGGGGGAUCGCGGCGGCGGUGCGCCCGUCAGCGGUGGAGGCAGCGCACGGCGGCCAGCUGCAGCAGGCCCGGGGCAUCGUGGUGCAGGUGAGGGACGGGAACCUGGACCGGGCGCUGUCGGUCAUGGAGCGCAAGAUUCGGUCCAGCGGCAUGGAGCGCCUCAUCCGGGCGCGCACCCACCACCACGUCAAGGACUCGGAGAAGCGCGUGCUCGCGCGCAAGGCGCUCAUGCAGCGCGUUAAGUCCCAGGAGCUCGGCAAGAAGCUCCGCGAGAUCCUCAUCAAGAAGAUCAGGUCAGUGUCACCCCCUCCGCCAGUAUUCUCCAUGCAUUCAUUUGUCCUUUUGCUUGCGUGUCUACCUUCUCGAUCCGACUUUUAGUCGGGGGCUGUGAGGACUGAGUGAAAUUAUGUGGGAUUUGCAACUAAGGGGACGGAUUAGGUUGUGAAAUGGAGAAUUUGAUUAGGUGCUCGUGUGGGAACCUGAACUGGAGACGGAAGACUCUCUGUUGGGCUCCCUAAGGGAACGUGUGUGUACGGUACAAGCUAUGAGCGCCAGGACAUGCUGUAUUUACAAACCGUUUGAUGAUGGUAGUAACAAAUUGUGCGAAAUGAGAUGUCGUGGUAUUGGUAAUUUUUGUGCCAUAUGGUGCAGCAACUAUUUGGUUACAGCCUUGCAGCACUAACUUGCGAUUGUCCCCAUUGUCUUAUUUGGUAGCAAAUCCUGCAUUCCAUCUUUAUUAACCUUUGGUCAAAUUUCUAGCUGAGUUUGGAUCGUUUCUGUUCAGUUCCUAGUCCUUGAUGACUUAUAAUUGCUGGAAUUUUGAGUGCUCUUAUUAGCAAAGUUCUGAUCAACCACUUUUGGAUAUGUAGAAAAAAUGGUCUAUGUAGGAGGAAUGUUUAAUAAAUAGGUGAGUGACAUAUACUGUCCUAAAUCAGAAAUCUAAAGAUUUGAUGGGCCCUAAAUAGCGAAGCUAUGACCGUCAAGUUUAUUAUCCAGUAAUGAAACUGAUAUUUGUGUAACUCUAGAAAAUAAAAGGUUUAGGUUGCUUUAGCUACCUAUGGAUACAUUCAUAUAAAAUAGACUCAUAAGUUGUAAAUUACCUGAUCCAGAAAUUUACUCUAUAUAUUUCAUGUUAGUUAACAGAGUUAUUCCAAGGGAAGUUCCUUUUCUGUCUAUGUUUUGCAUCUCCUGUGAUGUUUUGUUGAGAAUAUUAAAUCAACUCUACUGAGUGUUCUAGCAGUUCUUGCAGAUUUUUUCUAGUGAUAUGUAAAUGCUGUAUAUGUAAUGAACCGUCAUGGUGGUUAAACACUCUUAUGUGAAAUAUUGAAUUUCCUGAUGACAUGUAUGUAGUAUAUAUCUCCUUUGGUACACAGCCUGAAAUACAUUGCAAAUUGGUUGAUAUAGCCAUAUAGGUUCAUGGUGGUGCUUGAAAAUUAAUCUUGGAACUAUUUCCCACAAUUAACUGUGCUGCCUGGACUAUAUAAGUUGAUGAAUGCCAUUGAGUCAUUGAGACUAGCAGCUAAUGGAGAUUUUAUACACUGUUUAUACAUGAUUUAAUGACUGCUAUGAGAUGGUAAUUAUGAUUCAACUUCAAGCAAAAAAGAGUUAUGUAUAUUUGAUAAUGGCUGUAUGAAUGUUCCAUUUAACAAUUAACACACAGACAUUGUUCUUCCUGUAUUUGUUCAUCAAUUAUUAUAGAGUAAACUUCUGAAAAACAGGCUUUGCUAUCAUUGUUGUACAAAGCUCGUACGUUUAGCUUAUACUAUCUCAUAUCAGGUUCUAUGGUCAUGUUGUUUCACAAGUGCCCAUACUUAACCGAAUCCUAAUUAUUAAGCUAUUUGACCUUCAAUGUCUAUUUGUCAUCCAUUUUAGCUAGUUGACAAAUAUUAGCAACUAUGGCAGUGCAAUUGCAGGGCAUGCCUGUUCAGAUUAGAUUUUGUUAGAGUGGAGUUUGUGAACUGCAUCACCACAAAAUACGCAUUAUGUGUCACAAGUCAAGAAAAGUUUUGACAGUAUUACAAAUUUGCAGUUUGCACAUUACAAGAUUACCUUUCAAAUCUGAUAUGAAUUACUAUAGAUGUUUUGUUAAUUGAUCAGUAUAAAAGGUCUGCUCUGCCAGCUACAGAGAAAUCCAAUAGUUUUUUCUUAAGGUAGCGUUGAAAUGUAGAAGCUGAGAACUGAUAACACAAACCUGUUGCUGCACAACAUCCUUUUAUUUGAUUGUCAAAACAGUAUGCAUUUAUUCUGUGUACAAUCUUUCAAGUAGAAAUAAGCAGUUGUUGGUGUGUUUAUUGUUCCUGGAUGUUUUUUCCUUAAAAAAGGCAACAUUGAAAUGUGGAGUCUAGACUGACAACACAAAUCUGUUGUUGACAAACAUCCUUUUUAUCUGAUUGUCAAUAGUCAAAACAAUAUGCAUUUGUUGCUGCAUGAAAACUUUGAAGUAGACAUAAGCAGUUAUUGGUGUGUUUGUUGUUCCUGAAUGAAUUGCUGUCUUCUCUUUCAAAAGAAUGAAUUGCCAUCUCUUUAUUCAUGGAAACAUUAUUGCUCUGUGCAGGGGCCAGUGAGGGCAUAUCUAGGAUCAGCACAUCGGCAGUUUACCAGUAGUACUGAAGUAUGGUUGCUCCAUGUUGAACAUGUAAUCAGUGCCAAUGAUGUAUCUGUUUGGAGUGGCUUGAUAAUAACACAACUGCAACCUUGAGCAAGAAAAGCUUUUGUUGAUUGAUAAUUUUGAUUCCAGAGCUUUUUCUGGUUUAGAUUAGCCACUGCGAUUAUGGUGUGGUCUAGGUUAUGUCAUGUUUCGCCAGCGAGUUUGUGCAUCUUGAUCGAAAAAUAGCUUCUUUAGUAUCUGAAUAGAUGACAUAGUUCUGCGGCAUCGAAAGUAAUUCCUCAACUUUCAUGUUGAAGCAGUAGAAAUUUGAUGCGUUAUAUGAUAGAAGAAAUGACUUGAACAACGGAAAAUUUGUCUCUACGCUUUUGGCUGCCUACUUCUAUGUAUUGUCAUAACGCCUUUACGCUAAUUUGAUGCAUUAUAUGAUGGAAGAAAUGACUUGAACAACGGAAAAUUCAUACCUGAGCUUUUGGUUGCCUACUUCUAUGUAUUGUCAUAACGCCUUUGUGCUCACUUCGCUCUUAAUGUGGUUACUAUUUGGAAAGGGCAUAGUUUGAAGAGAUGAAAGUGCGCUGCACCUUGGAUAGCUAUUUAUACAAAAUAGCUCUAGUUACAAACAUAUGUAAUAUAAAAUAGCUCUAGUUACAAAUAUACGUGAGUAAAGGUGGACACGUAAGAAGUGUUAUGGCGGCUAAUUUUCUUGUUGCGUAUUUGUCGUGCCACGCAAGUACCGUGCAUGGAAGUGUGAAUUAUUGAACACAAUCCAAAGGCGGUUAAGUGCUGCUAUUAAGAAAUUAACAAACACAAGGAGUACACCGAUCUACUUCUAAACCUAGAAGUAACAGCACCGUUUACAUUUAGAAAUCACAAGAGAGUAUACCUUAAGCGCCAUACAAUGGGUAAAUCACAGAUUCUGACACUGUUUGAGUAGUCUGCUACUUGCUUCAGAUAUGGACAGUAUACAACACCUAUGUCCCGAUCAAGCACCAGUUUGUGCAAAACUAAACUGAAAAAAAGAUAUGUACAAUGAUGACCAGCUAGUUACCUUCAACUGAAUUGAAUCUCAUGUAAAAUUUUCCAUAGUAGUAGGUCGGUACUCCUAACCCCAAGUAACAGAAUUCUUGCAAUGUUUAUCUAGCCUGUCCUGGAUCAAAUUCAGCACCCUCUCAUAAAAGUGAGACAACACAACAAAAUUAUUGUCAUGUGUAGGUUGAACUGACUGGUGCCUCCUUGCGUUGCUUAAAUGCAAUCUGUCAUCAACUAAACUACUAAAAGAUGAUCCCCUUGAACAACUAAAAAAUGUAAAGGUACGCUGGGCGUUAGUUGUCUUGCAUAAUAAGAAGCAGGAUCCACGGUAGUAACAAAGAUGCAUUGGACAACUUUGGUUCCUGCAAAAUAAAAGACGGAUGUAGCAGAACAACUCCUUGAUGAAGGACAUGGAAAGGUGCAUACAUAAUUAUUACCAUUUUUAACAAAAUAAAAGACGGUUCUGAGUACCGACAUAGCUAGCAAGUAGCAACUUAUUUGAUUCCUCAAACUCUAGUACCCCCGAUUCAACACAAUUUACCAUCUUGUAAAUUUGAGGCCCUGACAUUUGUAUGGAACCACCAAUCGUGAGUCCUGACAACCUUGUUAACGGUUUUCUCAUAGGAAUUGCACACCAGAUUACAAUACUGGAUAGUGCAGUCAUGGAAAAGCAUCUUCAUUGUCAAGAGAAAUAUGCUUGGAAAUAUAGUGUAAUGCCACAAAAACUGCUCACCAGAUAGACAGAUUAGAUAUACAGAAAUUUUUAAAUUAUUUGGACAUAUCAAAGGCACGCUGGCCUCUCAAGUUAAUAUAAUGUAACGUUGCCCUUUGUUGAAGAAAAAAAAGUCAAAUUCUACAUGGACUUCAUGUAAACAUCAGUUAAAUAUAACGACCAUAGGUGCAAUAUCUCAUGCAAAAGAACCUGUGACUCAGAAGCCAAUGAAUCAGGAAAUUUUGAUUGUCUCCCUGUCAAAGGUUACUACUCUCUCAAAUAAUUCAACACACAUAAAAGUAAUUAAAUUGAUCUCUUAUUUAGAAAUCUGGAUACAAAAGGCAAAGCUGAUUACAUAAUAUUCACAUUGGUUGGUGGCAUUUCAUCGAACAGUUUAGGACCAUGGAGACAAAUAGAUUAACAAGCUUAGUUUGGAUCAUACUGUUGUGAAGAUUUUGAGUAAGAAAAAUGCAAAUUUAAGGCUCAGAAAAGCAAACCAAGAAAAAAUUGAAGGAUGACCAGGUGUGUUUUGUUCUUCUUGUUGCCAUCGUGCAACUUGUGAGGUUAAAGAAUUUUUUUACACUACGAUCGACGCUCGAGGGUGUCUAUGUUUUGGCAAUCCCCAACACAUUGUACAAUAUCAAACAAAUAAUCCCUUAGUGUUUCUGUAGAUGAACCUGCAUAGUUUCUCCUCUUAGCUUGACAAGCUUCAGUUCAUCCUCAAAGCUGCAUGUUCAUAUACGGUGUGUAAGUGUGCAUAUUUUGAUAUACUAAUGCAUCCAAGCUAUAGUCACCAAAAUGGACGUAUUCAUCAAGCAGAAUAUAAUUGCCUAACAGAAUGCACAUGGUACCAAAAUGGACGUAUUCACCAAAAUGCAUGUACGUGGAGCUUAUUUAGUGACAUGGUACCAACAACAAACGAUUAACAGAAUGCACAUGAGGAGAACAUAUGAUCAGACCAAGAACAUUUGCAUUAUCAUCAAAGGGUAAUCUGACCAAAAACACAAGAAUUAUGUUACAGCCAUGCACAAAUAUAGAUAUGAAUAACUUAAAAGGGAUAAGUAAUUUGCAGUCUAACGACAGUUAGAUAACAUAUGAAUUGGUGCUGUCCCAAAUUUUCAUUUGAAGCUGCUGAAGAUGGGCCGAGAUAAUUCUGAGGUAGGAAAUAAUAUGGUUAACACUCUUUUGAAUAGCUCCAGACUUAUAUGCUUACUAAUCAUUUUCACUUAACAGCCCACAAUUAAAAGUGCAGUUGUAUCGAUAUAAAAUUCUAAUCCGUACAGCUGAAAUAGAUAGAAAAUUCACUGACGGGGUAGAUACCUUGGUUUUUAAUCACUCUUUCUCUCUGGUUGCUUUCUUAUACUUGUCUUUGUAGAACACUAUCUCAUGCUUCCAAACCAACUCAUCCAAGUAUAUAAUUUUUUGCACACAUCAAUAUCCAGCUACAUACAUAAAACACAUAAUUUUUUUUGACAAAAUUUACCUUGGCAUAAUCAGCUAUCAGAUCAUCAAUAUCCAGCUUGAAUGGAGCCAUAUCUAUAUUUGCACGGAUGGCCUGAAAACUGUAUAAGAAAAUAAUUGCUCACUUGAUUGGUGAUAAAAAUGACAAUGAAUUAGUGUCAGCUAGCAGUGCAUAAUGUAAUGAAUGUGUAGAGCACAAAUUGUUUUGAAUAUGCAAGGCAGAAAGAAUUCACCAUUAGAAUAACCAUUUAUUUUCACAAUUUCCUUUGCCAUAUCUACACACAUCAACUAAAGCACGCUUCCUUCCAGCUUCCUACACAUAUGCCAUUCAAAAGCGAGCUCAAGAUAAGAAAGAACACAAGAAUUGGUUCACAUAACUGGUCGACCAAGGUAACCAGGGCCGUAGCCAGGAAUUCUUUUUUUCAUUGUUAGGGGGGACCAACAAUGCUAAUUUUUGUAAAAAUUUCAUCAAAUUCAAAAAUUUUAAUACAAAACAUUGGAACAAGGUAACCCAUCAACACCCCUGGAUGAAUGGCUUUCUUGCUAGGUUGGCCAUUACCAGUUUUCAGAUGCCAACAGCACAAACAACCACAUAUAACUGUAUCUGAUUUUGCCAUCUACAGGACCAACAGAAUUACAAAAACUUUCCAACUGAUAGCAUAAAAGCCUUUUCAGUAUAAAUUGAUAUUUGAAUUAGUAGUUUCAUUGGGUGUGGGCAUUUAAAUUGGUAUUUAAACUAUGUAAUUACAUACACGAAACUACACCAAAUGCUAAUUAACGGAACUAAAAAGGCAGAAAAUCCUUACUAUCAUUCCAGCAUGGGAACACAUGCAGAAGUCAUAGUUCCUUGGAUGGCAGACCUUGUUGUCCACAACGGUACCUGCAGAUUAAGCCAUUGAUAUUAUUAGAUAACAAUUCAGUCACAUAGAAAUUGGCCUACAAUUGCAGCAGCACAUUGCUGAGAGAGAGAGAGAAAUUACCAAGAGGCACAUUUUCUGGAGCGCCAGGAAUGAAAAUUUUCGUAUGAUGAUCCUUCUGGGCAAUAAUCAAUGUGAACUUGGGAUUCCAUUUUUCAUCCAAAAACUUGCAUGCCUAAAAAGGCCAGAAACUACUUUAGCAUGGCCAAGCAAGCAGUAUAGGAUACUUGGAUAAAAGGAACCUUGAAAUAGAAUAGAACCAAGAAAGUUUAUGAAGUACCUCUAUUAUCUGAUCCAACUCAAUGUUCAGCACCUCAUUAAACUGACUCUCACUAACACCAUCCCUAUAAUAAAGACACAGAACAUCAGCUUGGUGCUAUGAUAAAACAGAGGAAACUGGAGACAAGCAACCAAUUUGCACAACCAGACUACAUUGUUAUUCCCAAAAGAAAAAGGUCCGCUACCCAAAUUUGCAACCAGUUAAUUUAAAAUGAUAACUGACCUGAAUAUGAUGAUUUGAUCUGGCUUUCUCUUCCCAGAACUGGUGUAGAAGUCAAUCAGACACUCCCUGAAAAAACAACAUCAAAUUCCAACAAGUGACCGGAGAAACCAUGUCAUUAGAACAUACAGCAUAUUUACCAAAGUAUACCACAACAUUGCUCAAACCUAACAAGGUAAUGAAAGUAAAUCUCUUACCGAAUCAGGCCAUCAUCAUCAGUUCCCCUUGGCUUAAACAAGGAGUCAAUCAUUUCCAUUUUAGGUGAUUGUGAGCGCACCAAAGCUCUAUAUUUUGAUAUAAGAGACCAUUCACGUAUGCAAGGUCCUCGAUAAAAAUAUCUAAAACAACGACUAAUCUCCAUAAACAGUAACAGAACAUUUCAUGCUUGUCAGCAAUAAAGUCUGACAUGGAAAAAUAAUCUUCAUUUUUUAAAGCUCUCCUUAUUACAGUUCACAAGUCAUGCUAUUUAAUCCAUGUCCAAGUGUCCAAACUAUAUGGCAUGUCUAAUGCUCUCCUUAUUACAAUUCACAAGUCAUGCUAUUUAAUCCAUGUCCAAGUGUCCAAACUAUAUGGCAUGUCUAAUGCUCUCCUUAUUACAAUUUACAAGCCAUGUUAUUUAACCCCAUGUCCAAGUGUAAAAAAAAAAAGACUAUUCUAUUGGUAGGUUGGAUUGCUCAUAAUAAGUGGCAGCUCCAAAGUAAAAUGCAUAGCAUACUCAAAUAAAAUAUGCAAUGUCCAAAACCUAUUCGCAUUCUACUUUAUAAAUCCAAUGACCAAACAAGUAUGUAAUACAAAAAGGAAUAAAAAGUUGUCUGAUAUGCACCUCCGUUUGCAUCUCUGACCAGCCGCCCUCCAGAUCCAUUGGCUGACCAUUCACUGGGUGGCCAGGUAACCUUAAUGGGCUACCAUGCUCAAUUCUCUCAGGUUCAACAAAAUUAUGGUUAGGCGCCAUAGUAGAUGCCCGCAAAAUCUCUGCAUUAAAUAGAGCGUUAACUCAAUUAGACAAUGAUACAUAUAACUUGGAAAUAAUAAUGACAUUAAUACUUUGUAUGCCACUCUAAACUGGGGCAAAAGCAACGUAUGUGGCAUUUCCAAAUUUUGUACAAUGACAUGAACUAACGCACUGUGCCAAUGAGAUAGUAGACACUCAACUUUGCUAAAAAUAGACAUAAGCAGCACAAUGACCAUUCUUAAGAUACGCAUAAGCUGGACAAUGACCAUUGUUAAGAUAAAAAAUUAUGUUUGACACAACAGCAGCCGUUUUCUAGAGUGUGAAGUCAACUAUGUGAACAAAAAGAUAUUGUUUAGGGCCAGAACUCAACGGAAUAUUACCCUGUUAUAACCAUAAAUAAAGUAACAGGCAAUAGUAUAUUGGGAUAUUUGAAAAAAAUGAAUCAACAACAAAAUCCAGUCAAAACAAUCCUCUAAUUAACUCCUCUGAACAACAAUGGUAUGAUAUGAUUACAGAAAAUCCAAGAAGACAAAGUGCUGAGGCAAUCAUGAAAGUGCACAGGGAUGCAUGAUUAACAGCCCUAACCUAAAAGACUUGAAGAAAACUAAACAUAGCAACUUGUGAUAAUGAAUGUUUCACACCAUUAACAAACAAAAUUGUUAAAGUAACAAAAAAAAUAUAUAAACCAGUAACACUAAUAAUGCCUGGAGGCAAAGGAAACAAACCUUGGUUCAAGAGCCAGGUACAGAAAGGAAGAACUUGCACGAAUGGGGCCAAUUUCUGCCUCUCUGCAAGCAACUCAGCCAGGUAUCUGCCAAACAAGCUCCAGCGCCGGCCUACGGCGGCGUCACCUGUUCCAUUCGCAUGCAUCCACAGGAGAUGCGAGAGAGAUGCUAAAGAUCGGAUCGGAGGAGGCAUGCAUCGUCUACCGCCGAUCGAUGGAUGGUGAUUUGGACAUCAUGUAGAUGCAGGAGAAGAAAUGAAGAAUAGAUUAGAUUGAGAGUGAUCGUCGUACCAACAAUCACGAGAACAGCUACGAGGAGGAGACGGCAUGACAGCUUGUUCAAUUCCCAGCUGCUGCUGCGGCCAUCUUACCUUUUUCCACUUCAGGUAUGUGCCUGCCAGGCCUACUAUGUUCCUGCAGUCCUGCAGGCCCUAUAUCAUUGGUAGCUAGCAGCAUUGUUGCAGGAAGAAGAGAUGAGAUGAGGAGCCGAGGAGGAGGAGGGAGGAGAAAAGUAGGAGAGGACCCGGCGCUGGGCAUAUUACGUGUAGCAGCAUGGCAUCCGCAGGCGUUUCCGGGCCAGGGCAUAGUAUGUAUCGCCCACCAUCGCUGCAUGCAGAACAGUCACUGCACCCAGCAUAUAUAUUAUAUUGUUUAAUCAGCAGUCGGGUAGUUUUACAGUAGUAUAUACUUGGGCACCAUUGGGAGACGAAUCAAAUGCAUGCCAAAGAUCUUGCAUGCGUACCAGACUGGGAGAAUCCGCCGUCGCCCUCCCUGCGCGUAUAAUGGCGCGAGCCAGUGGCUUGGAGAUGGCAAAAUUAAACACAGCGAAGAAACUUUACUUCCAACAUUAAAUAGGACUGCAAUAACGUCAGCUUGUUCGCUUUCGCUUAAGCUAGUGACUGCAGCAGCAGCCGCUAGCUCAAGCAAAUAGGCUGAUGUUAUUGCAGUCCUAUUCUACAAGCAGAACCACUAGCUCAGGUGAACAAGUUGACGUUAUUGCAGUUCUAUUCUGCAAUGCAAGCAGCUCAAGGGAACAGGACUUUCCUAUUCAAUGUUCAUAGAACUCCCGUGACGCCUACGGGCGGGAAGUAAAGUUUCUCUCGCUGUUCACCUGUUGUUACUCCAAACACAACCAAAAAAAAAAUCGAAGAAUGGGUCCGUUUGCUGCACCCGGGGCCCAGUUUUUAUUUGGACGCCGUAAGUGGGCCAUUUUAGGAGGAAAGACACAGCCCGCCGCUUCUUGAACGGCCGGCAUUGGGCGGCCCAGUCUGAGAUUAGUUCGGCAAAUGCUCUCCGUUUCCAACUACAAACGCGCUCCCUUCCGUUUCUUGAUCUUGACCGUACGUUUAAUCAACCCCUGGCGCGUGUUCUUUUCCCAUACUGCAGCUCAUAAUCUGCUGUCAAUUGGUGUCUGAGUUGAUGAUUCGCCGUUGUGUUGGGAUAGUGAUGUACUGGGUGGUGUUGCUGGAGCUGUUAAUGGUCAACAUGCCCACAAAUUUUGAGCAACAGAGUCCUCAUAGUAUUUCUUUGACGAAGAAACACCAAAAGUCGAAUUCGUUGACGCCUCUAACGUCUCGGGGCGCGGACAGUCGCGUGUCCAGUUGUCCCUUCUUGCUUCUAGUAACCAUGUACUCCCUUAGUCCCGAUUUAAUUGUCACUUAGGAAUUAGGAUUGUGAGAGGAAUUAGGAUUGUGAGGGGAAUUCAUUCCCGAGCGAUAGUCACAGUUCCCGAGCGACAGUUAAUAGGGGACGGAGGAAGUACAUGAGAAAUAUUAGAGAAUGACAAAACGUUUCAGCAACAAUACCAUUGAAAACGACAGGGGAAAAAAAAGAGUACAAUCACGCAUACAUGUGUGCUGUUCUAACCACUUUGCAUAUACAAGUAUUUUUAAAAUGCCGGAAGUUUUUCUUUGUGUAACAUUUGCUGAAUCAAGUCGAUUUGAAUGGAUAGCAUUAGCAAAAUACAUGCAUUCAAAACUAUAUUGCGCAAAAGAAAUUUAAAAAAAAGGAAAGAAGAUGGAUAGAAUUGAUACAGUUCUCCAACAACCAUCCUAAUACUUGGUGACACAUCGAUCUGUCAUUAUGCUCCUAUUUAAUCCGUUUCAGGGGUAUCAUGUGAACCACCCGCUCUUCACAUUUUGUUAUACAGAGAUAGUCAACCAAGGAAGAGAAAACAACAAAAUACAAAGGAAAUACUAGCUCAAUUCUGGAAGGGGAAAAAAAACAGAUGGAAGGAACAGACAAAAGGGUGGUGGGUCUAAGCCGCCCAUGUUGACCUUGACCCGCCCACCCGCCACAAAAGCCAGUCCAGACCUGCACCUGGUCAAGACUCAUCAUGGCCGUCGGUAGUGCCAUGGAUGGCCGUGAUUGCGCCAUCCGAGAGACACUACACCACUAAAAAUUCUCGCACGUCUACGUACCGUACUGCUACCGUAAUGCUGUAUACACAGAUAGACCUGGCCAGCUUACAAGAGCAUGCUCGAGAUUUGAUGCCCCUAAUCAGAGAUGAAUUGGAAAAGUUAGUGACGUCCCUGUUGUUAUUUCUUCUUUUUGCAGGACUAGUCUCUCGUCUCUUUUUGGUCGAAAUACAGCUAGAACAGUCAACCCUAAACAAUGGAUCACUUUGUUUGCGCCACCAUUUUGAACUGUUGAAUUUAUCCCGGUAUAAAGGCAUGUCCUAAUGGUCUGCCAAAGCUGCGGACUAGUACAAGAAUUGGGAGAUUUGAUUUGAUCCGACAUUUUGACCAAGCAAUAAUUUCUAUUCUUUGCUGUUUCUACGGUAGUUUCGUCAAGGAGGAGCCAGUCAAUGUGCGUCACUGUCACUAUCGCUCUAAACGCUUGCACAUCUCCAAUCCUCCAUGGCUCUACUACUAGUAGUCUUCGUCUCUCUCCUGGUAUCGCUCCCGCCUCCCCAGUUCCAAUUCCCCCCUUCCUAAUCUCCUCUUCCCAGUCGUGCCAGGACCAGAUUCACAGCCUGGAUUGCUAAAAUAUCUAACCGAUUGCAGAGGAGAAGAGAAGACGCCAUGGCCCGCGGGAGAGGGAGGUGGGGUUUGCUGCCUUGAUUAGCUUCUUCUCUGCCUCUCUGUCCGCAAUCGCCAUCCGAGAAAGCCAGCCGCCCCGAAUCGCCGGAAAGAUGCGGCCUUUGCGGGGAAAGCACGGGGAUCUUGCUAUCCUCUGCUGCCUCGCGCUCCUCCUCCCGCUGCUUUCCCAUGGCGCGGACAUGCCGCUGGGGUCGACCCUCUCACCGGGCAACUCGGCGCCGUGGACUUCGCCCAACAACACCUUCUCGCUCUCCUUCACGGCGUCCCCGACCUCCCCGUCCCUCUUCGUCGCCGCCAUCACCUACGCCGGCGGGGUGCCCGUCUGGUCCGCGGGAGCCGGCGCGGCCGUUGACUCGGGUGGCUCGCUCCGCCUCUCCUCCAACGGCGACCUCCAGCUCGUCAAUGGAUCUGGGGCCGUGCUAUGGUCGUCCAACACCGGCGGCCGGGGCGUCGCCGCCGCGGCCGUCCAGGAGAGCGGCAACCUGGUGCUCAAGAACUCGACGGCCACCCUGUGGCAGUCGUUCGACCAUCCCACGGACACGGUGGUCAUGUCGCAGAACUUCACCUCCGGGAUGAACCUCACCUCCGGCCCCUACGUCUUCUCCGUCGACAAGAGCUCCGGCAACCUCACGCUCAAGUGGACCAGCGGCGCCAACACCGUCACCUACUUCAACAAGGGCUACAAUACGACCUUCACGGGGAACAAGACGCUGAGCUCGCCGACGCUGACGAUGCAGACCAACGGAAUCGUGUCGCUGACCGACGGCCAGCUGACGGCACCCGUCGUGGUGGCGUACAGCAGCAACUACGGCGAGAGCGGCGACAUGAUGCGGUUCGUGCGCCUCGACGCCGACGGCAACUUCCGCGCCUACAGCGCGGCGCGGGGCAGCAACGCGGCGGCGGAGCAGUGGUCGGCGGUGGCGGACCAGUGCCAGGUGUUCGGCUACUGCGGCAACAUGGGCGUGUGCAGCUACAACGGCACGUCGCCGGUUUGCGGGUGCCCGUCGCUCAACUUCCAGUUCAGCAACCCCUCCAACCCCCGCGACGGCUGCAAGCGCAAGGUGGACCUCCAGAACUGCCCCGGCAACUCCACCAUGCUCCAGCUCGACAACACCCAGUUCCUCACCUACCCGCCGGAGAUCACCACCGAGCAAUUCUUCGUGGGGAUCACCGCCUGCCGGCUCAACUGCCUCUCCGGCGGCUCCUGCGUGGCGUCCACGGCGCUCUCCGACGGGUCGGGCCUCUGCUUCCUCAAGGUCUCCAACUUCGUGAGCGCCUACCAGUCGGCCGCGCUGCCGAGCACGUCCUUCGUCAAGGUCUGCUUCCCCGGCCUGCCCAACCCGGCCCCCGACGCCGCGACAUCUUCCUCCCGCGGCGGCUCCGGCGUCCGCGCCUGGGUCGUCGCCGUCGUGGUCCUCGGCGCCGUGUCCGCGCUGGUGCUCUGCGAGUGGGCGCUCUGGUGGUGGUUCUGCCGGCACAGCCCCAAGUACGGGCCGGCGUCGGCGCAGUACGCGCUGCUGGAGUACGCGUCGGGCGCGCCGGUGCAGUUCUCCUACCGCGAGCUCCAGCGGUCGACCAAGGGGUUCAAGGAGAAGCUCGGCGCCGGCGGGUUCGGCGCCGUGUACCGCGGCGUGCUGGCGAACCGGACGGUGGUGGCGGUGAAGCAGCUGGAGGGGAUCGAGCAGGGGGAGAAGCAGUUCCGGAUGGAGGUGGCCACCAUCAGCAGCACGCACCACCUCAACCUCGUCCGCCUCAUCGGCUUCUGCUCCGAGGGCCGCCACCGCCUGCUCGUCUACGAGUUCAUGAAGAACGGCUCGCUGGACGCCUUCCUCUUCGGCGCCGCGCCGGGGGGGAAGAUGCCGUGGCCGACGCGCUUCGCCGCCGCCGUCGGCACCGCGCGGGGCAUCACCUACCUCCACGAGGAGUGCCGCGACUGCAUCGUCCACUGCGACAUCAAGCCCGAGAACAUCCUCCUCGACGAGCACUUCAACGCCAAGGUCUCCGACUUCGGGCUCGCCAAGCUCGUCAACCCCAAGGACCACCGCCACCGCACGCUCACCAGCGUAAGGGGGACCAGGGGGUACCUGGCGCCAGAGUGGCUCGCCAACCUGCCCAUCACGGCCAAGUCCGACGUUUACAGCUACGGGAUGGUCCUGCUGGAGAUCGUCAGCGGCCACCGCAACUUCGACGUCUCCGAGGAGACCGGCCGGAAGAAGUUCUCCGUGUGGGCGUACGAGGAGUACGAGAAGGGAAAGAUCUUCGACAUCAUCGACAAGAAGCUCCCCGGGGAAGACAUCGACAUGGCCCAGGUGGAGCGCGCGCUCCAGGUGAGCUUCUGGUGCAUCCAGGAGCAGCCGGCGCAGCGGCCGUCCAUGGGGAAGGUGGUGCAGAUGCUGGAAGGGAUCAUGGACCUCGAGAGGCCGCCGCCGCCCAAGUCGUCGGACAGUUUCCUGAGCACCACCACGGGCAGUACCGGCAUCGGCAGUGGCGUCAGCACGAGCAUAGUCUCGAGUACGGUUGCCUCGUCGGCCCCGAUCGCGCCGACGACGUCGCCGAACCUGGAGCAGGAGAUGGCGUUGGCGCGCUCGACGUCGGCCACGAACCGUGAGAGGGUGUCGCGGCAGCUGCUAUCGCCGCAGCCGUACAUGACGAUGUAAUAAGGUGCAUCUUCCAUGGCAGAUCAUCUGAACCCGUAGCGUCGUAAACAAAGUGGGGUGCUGAAGCAUGCGGAAAUUAAUGCUUCUAUGCUCCAUUGGAAGGAAGAGGAAAUGUACAGAUUAUAGAGCGGUUAGGGAAUUGAUGUGCUGAAUUUGCUGUUACGUCUGGUGAUCUUGUUCUGGUUGUGACAACAAAACAGAGUGUUGUUCACUUCUAGUGAGUUUGCAUACUGCAUCUGCAUAUGUAACUGUAAGUAGCAGGAUUUUGAUAUGGGCAUUGUAUUUUGUACAAAUAAUUGAGAUGUAGGCGAUGUAUUGUCCUAGCAUUGGCGGCAAUUUUCUCUUUUUUUUAGAAACAGAUGCAGGAUCAAUCAUGCCUGGACUUCUGAAUUUUAUCCCAACUACUCCCUCCCUCCUCCGUCCCUUUUUAUCUGUUGCUUGGGAAACGUGGUGAGGGACAGAGGGAGUAGUUCCGUUGAUCUAGGAAGUAGGAAGGUUCCAAGCAGCUCACACAGCCGAAGAGACUGCAUCUUAUCAAUAUCAUAGUGCUCAUCUGCUAGACUGUCACUACAUCAUACUGUUGCAGGUCAAGGUCUUCGGUUUUUCUCAGGCACACUGCUGGAAUUCUUGGUGGAGCAUGAACGGGAAUCUUGCAACAAACAUCUCCAUCAGUUUUUUAUGCGGUUCAAUGCUUGGGCCCCAUGAUCACAUUCCCGCAUCAAGUUGCAUUCAAAUCUUGGAAGGGAGAGGGCAGCCAUCUUGUCCUUGCGCCAUCCCUGCAAGCACAGGCAGCACCGAGUUGCAACACAUCACGCAUGUGAUUAAGCCUCGUGUCAGGCCGUGUUUAAUUACCACCAGAUUUGUCAGGGCACAGCGGCCUGUUCUUGCACUAGUCUCCUUGUCGCUUUCAGCAGCAGUGGAUGAAGGGGAAGUCGUUGAGGACUUGUGGUUACAUCCACAGCAGCACCGCACUGAACGUUUCCUCGCGCACGUGCUCUGAGAAGUGCUGUCGUACGCAACAAAAGAAAAAAACAGGGAUCUCCACUGCAGGAUCAUCAGUCUUUGCGAGUCCAUGACUCCAUGUUCAUCCUGAACAACUCAGCUAGACUAUUAGAGCCGGCGCCAAUCGUGAUGGUCAUUGCAUUGUUAAGAUUACUUAUAGUUUAAUAUCUAGAGGGAAGACAGAAACGGUUCCACAGGGUAGUGGUUAGCACUCCAGACUAUGAAUCAGGCGACCUGGGUUCAAUUCGAAGAUGAGACCUUUUUUUUUUACUUCCAUUUUUUAGCUAUUCCACGCCACAUAUCAACAGCUAUUUCCAUAUGCUGUCUGCAGCAGUCUCUUAAGAAAAUUAAAUUUUUUAAAGUUCGGUUUCUAGUAAUCUGAUUUCUCAAGCAAAACCCGCUAAUAGCCAACAACAUAUUACCUGUCGAAGCAAACCAUCAUGCCCCUUCGUUGACGAACGUCCUCGCCGGCUCAUUACCUUACUUGCCAUGAAGCAGGGAACACCGAAGGUAACUGUGCCUGACAGACUAAUGUAACCGUGCUGAUUGAAACUACUGGACAGUAACCUUCUCUUUCUGUGUCAAAAAAGAAGGGUCAAGUCAACUCACAUCAACAAGUAAGCGGUCAACUGACAUCAUCAGUAACCUGUGAACGCGAGUUAACCCCAACGAUUGACCACCUGACUCUAAACACCUUUGAACAGGUACAUGCAAUCAACACCCCCAUUUGCGUUUAGUGGUUUGUCUUUGGUCAAAUCCACGGAUCAAUUUGACUGCAACAAAGCUGGGAGUAGUAGUCGACACUUCUAGAUAAGUAACACUUGAGGACCAAGAGUCAUGACAGUUGACAAAUGAAAACCUGUUGCCUGUAACCUUUCAGCAUGGGUUGGCCUGUGCAUUGCAAUUUUUCUGUACACAAUUUACAGCUUCUUUGAAAGAAUGCUUCCAGAUCACCUCCAACGAUGGAAAAGAAUGCUUCCAGAUCACCUCCAAUUUACAGCAUUUCUUUUUCGAAGCUUAUUAAUCUAAUAUUCCACCCAGUUAACAUCCAAAUCCUUCAGCUUCAGGAGCCAUUUAUGUGCGUCCAGGGACGUGUUGGCUUUAUCAGGUUUCAUUCCAUGCUGCUUUGUAAUGCCACUGCCAGCUGGUGAUUCAGACUGCCUCUCAUCAUCAGAGUCAGCUUGCCUUCUAGGCCGCCUUAGUUCAAGAGAAAGAAGGCGUGAAACCUCCUGCACGCCACCCCAUUUUUCCAAUGCCCGAGCAAUGUCGUAACGACCUACCAACAAGAACAAAGCAAGAAAAUCAUUUCAAAAGCCAGAUAAGGAAACUCUACCACACCAAUUCUAACUUGGACAUCUAGCCUGAUAACAGGAAACAAUCCUCCAUUUUCAAGUAAUGAUGGCAUACAGCAAAAGGCAUUUGUGCUAAAAUGGAUAACCUUAUAAUAAUAAGCAGCACUAGCAUGCUAAAUUGCGUUGAAAAUGAUGCAGUGACAGGGCUACAGAUAUCCAACUUUAUUAGUCAGUCCUGAACUAACAGUCCUGAAUUGCGUUGAAAAUUGAUUCGGAGUGCCAGAUAUAAGUAAUUAAGUACCUGCUCUCUCAAAAGAUUUUCUACUUGGCAUAUAAGAAGGAUCCAUCCCCCAGCUCUUCUGGAACCGACUGAUCUGUAGAUAGUGAUCAUAUGAUAAUGUCAAUGGAACAUAUCACGGUUGCAAAAUUCAAUGGAACAAAUGCUAACUGUCGUUCACACUAGCAAUCUAAGCGGGGCAUGUUUUAACUCUUUCUGUUUGCAGCACAUGGUACAAAACAAUUCAAAGCUUAAUAUUGUUAUGCCUGUAGUCUUGUCCUAUGAUGGAUAUCUAGCAAGCAGAGGAGGGAGCUAAAGAUAUUUAGUAUCACCUCUUCUUGCAAGUUCUCCAGAUUAUCCCAAUAACCUCUUGGUUUUCGAUUUUUGUAAGAAAGGGAAAGGUUCAUUGUGCUGGCAAUCUUCCUGAAUCCACCCAUUCGUGUUAUUGCCUUCUCGAUAUCCACCCUUCCAUGAGACCGAAGAUGCUUUCUCUUAGGCAUGAAACCAUCCUGACCGUACUUAGCAAUGAAAUUCUCAAGCUCAGAUUUGAGGACCUCAAUGUCCUUUUGCAAGCCAGGGACUUUUGGUCUCUGUUUCAUGGAACUGAAGGAGCAAGAUGCAGAUUCUUUCUCUGAUUGCCUGUCUUCUGCAUGAUCAAUAUCUGGGUGUGUUGGUGCAGCAGAAUGAGUUGUGGAGUUGCUGCCUUCAGCUCCAGCCUUUUCAAUAUAAUCACGGAUUGCACACAAGUUUGACGGAAGGUCCUCAUAUAUGAUCUGGAAUAGAAUGAAGAAAGCAGACAAUUUGCUCCAUUAUCACUAAAGAUAUUAAACUUCCAAAAAAUCGCAACAGCCUAUUCAGAAAUCAUGAUCACAACUUUUCGGUGUCCUAGCUAUCCUGAAAUGUUGUCACUUGGACUUUAUUGUCAUAACAGCUAGACAUCCUAAAAAAUAUUUAGUAGUAUAUCGAACAUAAUGUUUGCAUGGUGAAAAUACUGCUGACUUAUAAUAGGAAUGGUCUCAAGAGACUCUUAAGCUGUUAGCUUGGAUACUUGAGUAUGUGAUGCCUAAGCUACAAAGAAACUGGAAAAGCAAUCCCUGCUAGCUUCUAUAUGAAACUGUUUUUUGAAAUGAUCAGAUAUGUAAUUUUAAAUAGCGGCAAUAAACUUAGAAGGCAUGAAGUAUUUAAACAAGCACUACAUAAAGCACUAGUAUAGUUAUCAUCAGUAAUAACCAAAACUGAAGAUAGGGUGCACAUUAAGACCUACUUUAGUUAUCAUUUAAGAUAUCCUACUUUGGUCAUCAUUUUUUUAGGAAGCUUUUAGUUAUCAUUUAAGAUCUUCUUUAUAACUAGUGACAAGCUACAUGAAUACAAGUUUGCUAUACAGUUAUACCUCUUCAAGAAUAGACUCAGAGAGAAAUGUGUCCUUAUGCAUUUUAGUCUCAACCAUGUACUUCAACAAGGUGUGCUGAUCACCAAGUUGUUCAAAGCGCCAUUUCCCUUUGAAUGAGUAGAAAUCACCCUCAACUUGUUCAAAGCUGAUCUCUUCCUCAAGUUUUUCGCGAAGAUCCAUAACAACACGGGCAUGAAGGACCAUAUACAGUAGGCCUUUGCAACCCUCCUAGAAAAAGGAUUUCAAAAGUUAAAAAUGGUUCCAAAAAAAUCACAGACUAUGGGACUGGAUUUACAUAAUUUUCAUUCAGCUAAGCACAGUGAAAACAAUUGAGCAAACCUAAGCCAGAAACAAUUAAAAAGACUGUAUCACAGGAGAACUUUAUAUGCUGUAGUAAAACAAUCGACAACCUAAGCCAGGUAUGUUUUAUAUGGUCUAGUAAAAAUAGUUAACCAAAAAGUGUGCAAGAGAGAUAACCGCGUAUCCUACCUGCAUUAUGCGGACCUUGUUAUUAUCACGAAGGACAAUCCUACUGAUAGCCAGGUUUGGCACAAAUCUAUCAAAUAGCUUUUGUUAGACAUACUUGUAAUAAAGACUGAACUCCAAAGAUUCUAGAAAGAUAGAACUACUUACUCAGGUAAAUUCUCAUAUGCCGUGAGAACAUUCCAUACCUCUCGAACUGGUGCUUUCACAGUGAUACUAGCAAAAACACACCUGUGAGCCCCCUCAUGUUCCUUCAUGAAGACCGUAUCACAGGAGAAGACAAACAUUUAGUGCCGUUUCCUUGAUGGUUAAUAAUCCAUUUAGUAAUAAUACAAGUCUAGUAAAUUACCAAGAGGCCAUCAAAUCUUCGAAGAUGGAUCUCAUCCACCACACAAGGCCUAUCAAUUCUGCAUGUGUUUCCAUAUACACCCCAUUUGCCAAUCAACUCAGAAGAAGGUGACGGAAGCACACUACCAACACCAGAAGUGGGAGGUGCUUCUUUGAACUUACUAGAAGUAGUAUCAAUUGUUGAACUAUGGAACUUAAGCUGAGAAGAAGUGGACGAUGGCUUCGAAUCCACAGCAGAAAAACCACAUCUUUGAUUUUCUAAAUAAAUCUUUUCAGCUCUACAAGCCAAGGCCCGAAGAUUUACAGGAAGAUCCGACCUUAUAAUCCUCUCAAGAAAUAUUGCCGGGAAGUUAAAUCUUGGUAUCACAUUAACUUCAUACAGCAAAAUUGCACUAGAGGACCUGCUAGAAGACAAAAACAAUAUAGGCCAUAUUAUACUCAAUAUCUUUUUCUGCUCACUAGAAGUUGGAGACCUCUUAAGCAUCUAUGAAACAAAUGGAAAUUGUUUUCACUCUCAGGCAUCAGUUGGACACCAAGAUAAGAGAAUGGUGCAAUUAAGCUAGAUAUUCAUCAAAGGGAAAAAAUCACAAACAGCAAUUCACUUAUAUCUUUAUUAAUUGGCCUCCUGUUCCAGUUAUCCUCAGAAAAAAAUGGUCUUAAGAUGCAUACCUUGGACCAGAUCUGAUGGACCAUUUUCCUUCAAACUUCUUGAAGUCACCAUCUACCAUUGAGAAAUGGAGUUCUCGUCCAUUAAUCUGAAAGCAGAAUUGUUAACAAACGCUAACCAAGUAAGGCAAUGUAGAUUGAUAAAGUACAAAAGAAGGGACAUCCUUCAUCAUUUUCGGAUUUGUUAACUAUAACCCAUACAAGUAUACAACUAAGAAAACAUCAGAGAAUAAUGCAGUAGCACAUCUCUACAAGAAGAAAAUAUCAGAUUCCCCUCCAGUUAGUUUAUUUCUUGUAAAUAACUUCCCAUGUUUUAUUUAAGUGUAAAGUGCAUAGCCAGUCCUUAAACUUGUCCGGCUAUGUCACUUAGGUCCCCGUACUCUCAAAAUGCAUAUCUGGCUCCCUAAACUUAGGCUGGGCUUGGGUGUCAUUUGUCCCUGUACUAUCAGAAUGUAGAUCUAGCACCCUAAACUUGGCUUCGGGUGUCAUCCAGGUCCAUAUACUCUAUAAAAGCAUUGCCAUGUCAAUUAAAUUGAUAAAAACUUAUUUUACAUAGAUAUAAUUUAAAUUAGUCAAAUAAAGUGAAUUUCAGCUCAACGUGUGUGGAGAAUAUUGAUGUCCUGAAUCCAGAAAGAUUGAUGAUCAAUAUUUUAACUUGCUAACUUGCGAAUGACAGGUGUGCUCUAUCUUUACUCUUUAUUUAAUAUAUCAUGCUGGGAGGCUUUUGCCUCACAGUUUUCGGUCAAAAAGAAGAAGAAAAGACAUGUUGGCUCAUGGCCAGAUCAAAGCACGUACGGAAUCAGGGACUUCCUGGAGAUCCAACACGACGCGGGCCUCGAUGUGCCAGUACAACGCCUGCUGCAGUCCCCUCUGCUCCAGCCAUAUCCGCCCUUCGUGCGGGCACGGAAUCCUCCCGCUGCAAUCACGAACAAAAUUCCCCAAUCAGACACCUUCAAACGAGCCAUCAUCAUUGUGCAAUCAGAGUCACAGUCCACAGGUGACAAACUGAGAUGAGAUCACCAGAGGCAUGAGAAGGGGGAAAAAACAGCGGACCUCUGGACGAGGUUGGGGAUGAAGUCGGCUAGGCGCUCGUAGUCGGUGAUGACCUGCCACAGGGUGUCGACGUCGGCGGCCACGGCCACGGACCCGAGCACCCGCCGCUCCCGCCACGACACCACGUCCACGUCGCACUUCACGCCGUGCGCCGCACGGGCCGCGGCCUCCUGCGAGCUCGCGUGGCCGCCGCCGUGGUAGUGGUCGGCGCCCCAGUGGUCCCCGGUGGCGGCGGCAGCCGCGGCGGCGACGGAGCGGCCGGAAGGGCAAGGGCCCCGCGAGAGCGCCGCCACCGCCGAACGGAGAGGCGCGCGAGGGUUAGGAUUUGCGCUGGGAUUGAGGAUUCCCGGGAGGAAGGAGGCGGCGGGCGAUGAGAGAGCUCUCAUCGCUCAUGCACGCGUGCAGGACACUGCACUGGCCACUGGGGGAGUUGGUGACCGAGGAAGGAGGCGGCGCAGUGACUGAGCCUUUGCCGCUCUGGAGCUCCUCGUUUCGAAGGAAGUUUCAAGUCACUGACGUACGGGACCCACACGCUUGGUCCCAGAUGUCGGUGGCGUGGUGUGGUGCUAGUCGAUGGCGACGAGGGAUUGUUUCUGUUGCGACGGUGAGAGGCGAGCGGGCGAUGUGUGGCGGGAAGGCGAAGAGGCACCGUAGCCACUCGUGGCGCGUGGGCAGGGUCCCGCGUGGUGAGAUGAAUCUGCUGUGGGGUCGGGGCGUCAGUGCGGUUGCGGUCCCGGCUCCCGUUUGUGGUGGGCGGGUAGCUGGCCGACGUGGGCCGUGCUGCGCCUACCCGGGGUGCGGUUAUCUAUUGGAAGAUGGUUACGAAGGACAACCAACCCGCAUGUCAAAACUCUAUUUAACUCAAAAAAUAUUAUCAAUAUUUUUUAAAAAAAAUUGUCAAUAUUUUUUUUAAAAAAAGUUGGAUCAACAUUUUAAAAAAAAUUAAACCAAUAUUUCUUCAGAAAAAGAAAAAAAUGCAUUAACAUUUUCAAAGAAAAGUUGGUCCAGCAUUUUUUCGACCUUCUUCCCACGCUCCAUAGCUGGUGGCAGGGGUGGCGAGGUGCGGAGGCACUGAGAGGGCGGCGGCGCACGGCGGGCAGAAGCUCACGAUGUGACGGCGGUACAGGCAGGGAGGAGAGAGGAGUGAAGUUAGGGUUUUGAUUUAAUGCAUAUACGACAUAUCUCAUUGGUCAACAUGGAAGUUACCCCCAAUGGAUAUGAUUUCCGGCAGUUAUCACCCAAGACGACGGGCCUGCUACUGUUGCCUUCUACCACGUGUCAGGCCGCUGCUUGCCUACGAAUGGUGGGCUGCCUUCGGCCCAAAUUAAUGAUUGGACUGUUUGCAUCUUGUAGGAACAAAAGCACAAGCAUGCAUGCAAAGAUGAUUUGAAACAAAAAAAAAAGUCAUAAAUCUUAAAUCACUCAUCCAAACAAAAUUCCGAUUUCACAAUAAUGUUUGUUACGAAAAGUUGACUACUCUACUCUAGUUCGUUUUCUUCUAUUUCUCUACUCUACUCUACUCUAUUUCCACAUAAAGAUGAUUCAAAAUUUCGUAUUUUCCUACCCGUUAAGUGGAGCUGUCGUGGGGCCUUAGGCUAUUUUCCUUUUUGUGUUGGGCUUUCUGCACUGUAGCUCGUUAUGGCCUUAGUGGGCUUAUAUACAAUUUUUUACGAGCUGAAUUCCUUUUUAUGCGUUUCACUUCUGUUUUGUGUAUUUACUCUAUAUUUUAGUAUUUUUUCUGGUUAUAAUAAAUUGUUCGGCUACAGAACUUUUAAACAUAUUUUAUUGUCAUGUGUUAAUGAAAAUUCUGAUAAUAUAAUUUUGUCUGAUCAUUCCCACAUAAUUUUCUAGUGAUGCAAUUUCAUUAUUACGUUUCGAUUGUUCUGAUAAUACAUUGAGUUUCUUCGGGAGUGCAUUUUAAUUUUCCCUAUAAAUUGUUUGAUAUAUAUAUGUUCCAUGCUAUAUUCUUAAAAAAUGUUAUAUGGCGAGUAUAAUUAUAUUGUUCUUAUUAUAAUAUAUUUGGGUUGUGCAUGCAUGUCACUAGAAAUUAUAAUGUUUUCAUACAUGCCAUCCAAAUUGUUGAAUUCUCCUUUGUGCUAUAAUUCAAAAAUUGUAUACGUGCGCUCGGUUCCUCCCGCAGCCCGCGAGGUUGUAGGGAAGCUGAAAUAUUUUUGGUAUAAAGCUUAAGCUAGGAUUUUCUUUAAAGUUCACAUUUUAUGGAACAAAUCACAUUUAUUUUAAGAAUACUUUUAGUUAAGCUGGGACAUGUUUCUUUUGAAGGUGAAAGUAUUUUUUCCUCGUGAAAUUAGAAAAAUUAUUGUGUUGAGUAGAUCAUUUUAAAAACGCUGUUGAAAGUUUCAAAUUAUAUGAAGAAUGUUGAAGCAAUUCGUACAUAUUUUUUUGAAAUAACUAGUACAGUAAGCUAAUAAUAAGAAUAACAAAAAGGUAAGAAAAAUAGAAUAGGGCUAAGCUCUCCCCAGAUCCUACGUGUUGGACUUUUCGUCGGAUGGCACGCAGCCAGUGUGUGAGCGGCACGUGGCAGCUAGCCCGCGCCGGCCAGGUGGAGGCGAACAGCUCCCCCAGUCCAGUCUUCAUCAGUCCUCACCUCAGUAAUAACUCACCGAGCACAAGACCACGGUGACGUGGACCAUCCCUUCUCCGGAACUUCCCCCCUUCCGCCUUCCUUGCCCUUGCCUCCCCCUUCACCUCCACCUCCCCUUCUUGCGUGCCGCCGACAAGCGCCACGCCUAGAUGGCGGGGAAACACUCCGACCACCACUACGACUGCUUGACGGUCGGCCUCGGCGUUGGGUUGUCCCUCCUGGCAGUCGCGGGGCUGGUCAUUUGCUGCCGCAAGCGGCGCCGCGGCCGUACGGUGCGCCUGGAAGACGUGUUGAAGAGCCCCGGCCGCGCGGAGCCUUGGGAUGCCGAGGAGCGUCCGGGCUCCGGAGGAGAGAGUCCGGGCGCCGGCGACGUGCCUCUGGGCGCCGUGGCGGUGGCGGAGGGAGAGCGCCGCGCGUCGCUAGUCCUGGAGGCCGGCGAGCAUCGGCCGAGCUUCGAGCGUCGGGUGGACGCUGGACACUCGCCGGCAAGCACCGACGACGACGAGGUUCCGCCGUCGACGCUCCUAAACCCUCUGGGCGCCGUGGCGGUGGCAAAGGGAGAGCGCCGCGCGUCGCUGGACCUGGAGGCCGGCGGACAUUGGCCGAGCUUCGAGCGGUGGGACAGGCGGGUGGACGUACGUGGAGCGCUCGCCGGCAAGCACCGACGACGACGAGUUUCCUCCGUCGAGCCUCCUUCCUGCCUGGCAGGCUUCGCUCCCGUCGUCGUCGUCGGGCUCACGCGCUCCGGAGAUCGCAGCGACAUUCCCCGGCGUCGACGAGCACUACAUAGACACACGGCGGCAAGCAUGUCCCGCGCGCGGCUGCGAUCGCGAGGGCCUGGCGGCAGCGCAGGCGGCCACUGUGGACGACUUGCCGCCGUUGCCCAUGCGGGCGCCAUACGUGCUGCUGGAAGAUCUUCCGCCGGGGCACCACGAGCACAUCUGGGGACCGCCGGGAGAGCGGAUGCCCUCACCGCCUCCGGCUUCGUCCCCCGGCUCCUCGUCGCCGUCAUGCUCCUGCUGCAUCUACGUGUUCGACUACGGGGGUGUUUGGAUACGAGGUGUUAAACUUUAACAGUGUCACAUCGAAUGUUCGGAUGCUAAUUAGGAGAACUAAAUAUGAGCUAAUUAUAAAACUAAUUGCAGAACCCUAUGCUAAUUCACGAGACGAAUCUAUUAAGCCUAAUUAAUCCAUCAUUAGCAAAUGGUUACUGUAGCACCACAUUGUCAAAUCAUGUACUAAUUAGGCUUAAUAGAUUCGUAUCGCGAAUUACACUUCAUCUGUGCAAUUAGUUUUGUAAUUAGUCUAUAUUUAAUACUCCUAAUUAGCAUUCAAACAUCCGAUGUGACAGGUGUUAAACUUUAACACUAGUGAGCCAAACAGGCCCUACAUAUUCGCAGCAGAUUGCUAGUCAGUAGUCACCCUAAUUACUAUAGCUGAUAAUUGUGCUGAUUAGAGUGCAUCAGCCGCA
rnacentral:lncRNA from 1 species